CAAUACCAUAGGUUGCCAUCCAAUAGAGAGGAAAAAAUACAAGCAAAGAACCCAACUUUUUACUUAGACAUAUGGCGAAACGUGCUCAUGCAACUGGUAAGAAAAAAUCACUCAUGGCCCAAAAAAGAAUUUCAUAAAACUGAUAGUAAAAUCAAAAUGAAUGAUACAUACAAUCAAAAUUUUCAACUGACACCUAUUGAUUUAAUACAACCAGGUAAAGAGGCCGACAACCAUCUGAUAUCUAUGAAGCAAAUGAACUAGCAAUAUACUAGAAAUAUCAGCAAUUGCAAUCAACAAAGGCAACAGGCUCCAUUGAAGUCCCCAAUUUAAAUCUAUUGAUUUAAUACAUGCUCUCAUUGAAGUCCCCAACUCUAGGAAUAUUGUUCUGCCAGAAGCUAGUCAGUUAAGCAAAAUCAAUAAAAAUUCAAGAAACAUAAACCCAAACCUAGAUAAACUACUGCAUUUAUCUUACGGUGCUUGCCAAUUAUGUUGCCAUGAUUUCCAAUUAUAACAGAAAUAGAGUUCUGAAAAAGACCGACCCGUACCCGGGGUUCUCUUAACAACUCUUUGUCAGCAGAAAAUUUGAAAGCCUGGAAUGAUUUGAAAUGGAAAAGCACUUAUAACUGCCUUCUACAAUAUACUUGUAUUGAAAUGACAAACUUUGAGGCACAAGGUGAUAAGAGCUAGAAAGGGGUGCAAGUGAUAAUAGACAUUAACAUGUCCUUACCUUCCAAUAAAUUUAAAAUGGCAUAUCCAUCGCAAGAAUUUUUAUGAUUUGUACCCUCGACAACAUUGGUGAAGAACAACACAACCUAUAAAAUUGUUAUAAGUAUCCUAAAUUGAGAUCUAUCUUGAUCAUUAGAGACAAGAUUAGUGCUUUGUUGUAGCACAAUUUAAAAUAAUUGUUUAUGAAAGCAAGACAAUGUGCAAGUACACAAGCAUGAGAGCAACAGAGCUUUCAAUUUUAUCUAUUAAUGGUUUUCACAUGUCUUGGGAGAGAAUAUGAUUGCUAGAUAUUACAAAAGGUUAAACAAAAAAGGUAGGCUAUAUUCUGUACUAGCUCUACAAGUUCAGAGUACAAAAACCACAAGCCCUUCUAAUAAAUCAAAUUCUACAGGUCUCUAAUGGUCAGAACCAUUACUCAUUUAUCUUCAGAAAACAGGAGUGGCGAGUUGCAAAAAUCUAUACCUCAUCAACUUCCAUUGAGAGAUCAUUCACACUUUGCCUAAGUAAUCCUUUCAAUCUUCCUUUCUUGAAAUCUGAAAGCUCAGCACCAAUGUUGUUUUCAAAAAGUGAAUCAACAUCUUUAGGACUACAAUCCAUAGACUCUUUAUCAUUGACCACCAUAUACUUCCCUUGAGACAACUCAGAUGCAUUGGAAUUGGACAGAGUAUUUUUAUCUUCUAACAACAGGUCAGCUAUUUGACAAGCAUAGAAGCUAAAGAAAUCAGGUCCAACUUUACAUUGCUUACUCGAACCAUCUGAAUUUCUCGGCAUCUCUGACAUGAUAGAAGUACUACUACUCUGCAUACGACAACUACAUAGAUAUGAAUCAGUCCAGACUCCAGAUAAAUAACUGAAGCAAAAGAGGAAGAAGCACCAUUAUAUAUACUAUACAAAUUUCUCUCUAAAGCUAUAUUUAGAAACAUGAAUUUGAACAUUUGGAUUUAAUUUCAUUUGUUAUAAAAAUCUACGGAUAAAUAAAUAUUGAUGAGCUAAGAUGAUGGAUCUCUAUAUCAAUGAAUCGUUAUAAUGCAGUAAUGUUGGAUAAAUAAAUAGGCACUUGAAGAUCAAACUCAUGUUUUGAAGAGAGGGCUUUAGCUGAUUCAGGUGGAACAAUAGUUUCAAGUGUUGUUCCGCAAUUCAGCCUUAGAAGCAAUCGGCUGACUUCCUGUUAAUAAACCAUAACAAAAUUCCAAAAGAUUGUUACUUUCACCAGCAAUAAGAUCAGUAGAUUUUGACUUUUAAUAGGCAAAACAUGUUACUUGUUAAUGAGAUAAACUGUUUACAAAUUCUAGGAUCGUCUGCAAUGAUUAUUUCAGUGGCAAAAACUGACUAAAAUGACAAUAACCAAUCAAUUCAUAAUAGACAAUAUGAAAUGGGUUUCCUUUUUCAUGAUCAAAUUAGCUUUUACAAUAUAUAUAUAUAUAAGCAAGAAAAAUAACAGGAAAGACAAAUAAAUUACAACCCGGAAAGUGGGAAAAAAGAAAAAGAAAAGACCUGGUAGAGUUGAGGCUUGAGAUUUGCGCUCAAGAGGUGGUGAAGCGAAUUAUACCCACAAAUUGAUCCAUAUUUGAAACUUUCUUUUUCUUCUGUGCUUCCAUUUUCUUUCCCAAUUCCAUCAGUUUUUUCAUUUUCUGAUUCCCUCAAUUAUUGCUCCGAAAUCAAAACAUAGAAAAAAGGUUGAUGAACGCCGGUGUCUAGUGUUAAGAAUCGAUGUUGGUUGAUGGCAAGCAGAAGAUCAGGUGUCAAGGAUAGGAGAAAGGGAAGGGCAAGGGAAAGGGAAAGGGAAGAUCGAUGUCUAAAAUUUUCUUGAAAAUGUCUUAUCGAAUUAGAAACGGUAAGAUAUUUUCCAAAAUUAAAGGCUUCUUUUCCGGAAAAGGCUGGAAACCUUUUCCGGAAAAUGUUUUACUACAAUCAAACAGAGCCUUAACAUAAAAUGUGUAUUUGCUUCAGUGGUUAAGUGUUCUGGGUGUGUGUAUGAGGUUUUGGGUUCAAGUCUUUAUUUUGGAAUUUUUUUUAUUUUUUUAUCCAAGCCUUAUCUCUAUUAGGUGGGCUUAUGUUUUAUCUUUAGUAAACCCAUAUCAGAAUGAGCCUGUUGGUUCGAGCAAUAACGAGUUAGCUUGCUGAAGGUCCUGUGUUCGAUUCCCUGUGUGAGUGUGGAUGAUAUUUUUGUUUUAGUUGUGAGAUAGAGGUUAGGUGAAAGUAAAAUUCUAAGGUGGUGGAGAGUUAGUCGGUUAGUUAUUGGAAUAAUGGAAAGUUGAGAUAUUAGGGGUUUCAAAUUUUAUUUUAAUUUUUUUCUUCUCAAAGUUUUUGACGUCAGUUUUAUUUUAUUUUUCCCUCUUUUAACAUUUUUACCUUCUCGGUAAAAUCCUUUUCAUUUCUCUUUGAUUCUAUUCGUGAAUCCCUCGUUCAAAUCAUUGCUACUGUGAUUUUUGGGUUCUUUAAUCAGUUGGUAAGUAGAACUUCGUAUCUCUUUAACAAUUGGUUUGAGAUAUUGGCAAUGUUAAGUUGUAGCGAUUAAUUAGUAGAUUCAGUGUUUAGGAGAAGAUUGUGAAGCAGAAAAUUCACCCCGACAGCCUAAUCCGUGUUAGUGGUGGUUUUCAUUAACGAUAAGUUUGUGAUCGUUGUUGAAUUUUUGUCACGAAUUUGUAAAUUGGUUGCUAAUCGGGGUUAGAGAUACUAUUUACAGGUUUCUAUGGUCUCGGGAUUGAUUAUACUACAAAAAUAAACCAGGUGUGUAACCCUAACGUGAGAAAAUGAGAUUCGACGAAAGUUAAAAUUUAGGUUUGUCGACGCCACACUGGCGUGUGCCCGGUCAUGUGCAAGACAUGGUCGUGUGACUUAUAAGGGUAUGGCCCUGCGUAAGACACGACCGUGUAACAGUGUUAGUGUGGCUGUGUGGACUACACGGGCUAGGCGAGAUUGGCCGAAUGGGCCCAUACGGGCAAGCCACAUCGACGUGUGGGCCCAUAAUUCUAAAAUUUUCCCUAGGAUCUCACUGGUCGUUUUGAUUGAAUGUGAACUUAUUAUAGGGUCGGUAAGGGCUAAUCAAACUCUAAUUCAUGUGAUCUGAUAUUCUGAUAGUCUGAUUUGAGUAGGACAUUGAUAUGUAUAUAUGACUGUUCUGUUUGAGUAUAUAUAUAUGUGUUAUCUAUAUACGAACAUGUGUUAAUUAUGUUAAUUUUGUAUUAUGUAUUGUGUUUAGGGUGGGAUUUGUAUAUAUGGAGGAAGUGAUCUGUACGGUGACCUUUCGCCUAUAUUCUGGUAGCUUGGCUGCGUAUUAUCUAUUAUGUGUCGCAUCAAAACUCUAUGGUGUCUAGGGAUGAGUGGGUGUUUUUAACCCCCACAUGGUGUGAUGGGAUGGACGGAGAUGGUGUGUAGAGGAUGGGGGUAGGAUUUUGUAUAUUCGUUCUAUUUAUCUGAUAUGAUUUCUGUAACUGUUGUGGACUUAAGUUCGAAUCUGUAUCUGACUGUAUAUGAAACAUUGUGUAUGCUGCAUGUCUGUCUCUGUUGGGUUACACACUGAGUUUAUAUAAACUCACAUUUGUUUGACUUUUUUGUUCAGGUAACCUAUAGACAUAGGCGGGUCAGUGCGACGGAGGCUCAGCGGUGACCACUCGAUAGAAAACUGUUUCCAUUUAUUAUUUCAUGGUUUUUAUUUAAAUUUCUAAUUUUCGUGAGAGUUUUGUAAUUUUUGCACUCUCCAAACUUUUUGAACUGUUUGGUUUCAAUUUUUGGUUUGGUUGGGUUAUGAUUUCUAAACUGCGACAAUUCGACAAAAUAUUGAUUUUACGUGAUCAAAUGUCAUCGAGCCUGGUUUCUAUUUAAACGACUUUUCAAACUUCCGCUGCUAAAUGAUUUGGUUAACCUUAAGGGAUAACAUGUAACUGUUUCAUUAAUAAAUAUAUAAGUGAAUACGUUUUACAAAACUUAGACGUUUAUUGAAAUAUUAUUGGUUUUAAAACCUUUCUUCGUAACACUCCUGAAUUCGGCCAUAACGUCUAGGUCGAGUUUGGGAUGUUACAUUUAGUGGUAUCAGAGCCAGGUUGUAAAACUCGGGUUAUGAAUUUUGGAUUCCAAAAUUUUGUCUUGAAAAAAGACUAGUUUUUAAAUAAUUUAGAUCAUUCCUGAGUAAGUAUGUGAUACACCAAGUCUUCGGUGUCGAUUUUAUAAGUAUCUCUAAAUUUUGAAAAUACAAUAGAUAGUACUUUAUGAAAUUGUAAUAAGUUAGUUAAAGACUAAAACCUCUGAAAUACUUCUGAACUUUUGAUAUUUUAAGCAUAAAAUAUUUGUUAAUAAAAAUUGAAACUGAGGCAUAAAAUUUUAUAAUGUAAAUAAAAUUAAAAAUAUGAUGAGUACUCAUGAAACUCAUGGUCAUAGUAAUCGUGGACGUGGCGGGCGCCGUAGUAGGGCUUGAGUUGAGUUUUCCUCUCUAGGCAGUAUGCCAAAUUUAGAUACGAGUGAGGCACCGGUUUUACUUACUACAAAGACUGGGUUUGAAAGCCGUUCGUCUGGGGACGAUGCACUGUCCUAAUCUAUGUUGAGAGUGUUGGAGAGGGUUGCUAGACCCUAUUCGGGAUCUGGAGGUCGUAGGUCGAUAACAAAAUGACUUCGAUCCAAUAGAGUUGAGUUGUUUAGAGGCGUCACUAGAGUCACCUUUACUGUGGACGAGUAUUGGUUAGAGGCCAAUAAGAGGAUUAUGAAUGACAUCUACUGCACUCCUGAGUAGAAAUUAAAAGGUGCAAUCUCUUUGCUUCACGACGAAGCUUAUCAGUAGUGGUUGUCAGUUGAGGAGGGUAUUCAACCGGAUCAUCUGAACUGAGACUACUUUAAGACCGCUUUCUAGGGAAAAUAUGUGGGUGCAAGCUCUGUGGAUGCUUGUAGGCGUGAGUUCACGAAUCUCACGCAAGGUGAUAAGUCUGUGGUCGAGUAUGAGGUCAAAUUUCUGAGACUGAGUCGCUACGCUCAAGGCAUUGUGGCAUCUGAGUAUGAGAAAUAUGUUUGUUUUAAGGACGGCUUGAGGGAUAGUCUGAGGGUAUUAAUUGCUUCACAGAGAGCGAGAGUUUGCUGUUCUUGUGGAUAAGGCGAAGAUCGCCGAGGAGGUUAAGGACGUAGAGUGCUAGAACAGAUAUCGUGAGAGAGGCAAGAAUAAGAAGGAUUCAGAGCCCUCUAGUUCUAUUCAGAGGCCUAAGAAAUUGCCCAGACCUGAUGGGCCUGUUAGGGUGGGAGUUAUUAUUGCUCUUACUAGGAUUCAGCCUUGUGGUGACUGUGGUAGGCGUCAUCUGGGUAAGUGUUGGAGGAGAUCGGGGCUUAUUUGCGGUAUGGGUCUUUAGAGUACCAGAUUAGAGAAUAUCCACAUCGUACCAAUUAGAUGCAAGCUACGGGACCAGGUUUUGUUCAGCCUCAGAGGACAGUACAACAGCCACCUAAGGGUCGUGGAUUGGCUAGGAGUGGUAAUGGUAUGAGUCAUGGACAGAGAGUACCAGACAAAGGUGUUAAUCAGACUGAGGCGAGACAACCUGCACUGGUUUAUACUGCUCGACGCUGAGAGGAUAGAGACGCUCCUGAUGUGAUCACGGAUACGUUUUUAAUUUUUGAUAUUUCAUAUAUUACUUUGAUAGACUUAGGUUCUACACACUCCUAUGUAGCUAGUGUUGCUUCAGAAAACUUGAGAAUUUCUGUUGAGUGUACUUGUGGUGAGAUUAUUGUACUGAGUCUGUUGGGACAGUCUGUUUGGGUAAAUAGACUUUAUAGGAAUGUUUCGUUGGAAGUAUAAUGGGUUAUCUUUCCGGCAAAUCUGAUGGAGCUAUCGUUUGGGGAGUUUGACUUAAUUCUAGGUAUGGACUGAUUAGUUGAACACCGAGUUAGUUUGGAUUGCGUAACUAAGAGGGUCAUUUUGAGGACCAAAGAUGAUAAGGAGGUGGUUGUGAUUGGUGAGCGUCGAGAUUACCAGUCUAAUAUAAUCUCCGCUCCAGUAGCUGAGAAAUUAGUUUGAAAAAUUGUGAGGCGUAUUUAGCCUACGUCAAUAUUUCAGUUUAUGGGGACUCUGCUGUCGGGGAUAUCAGAACAGUGAGGGAAUUUUUGGAUGUUUUUCCUGAGGAAUUGAUGGGUUUACCUCUAAAUCAAAAAGUUGAGUUUGACAUUAAGCUUCUACCGGGUACAAAAUUGGUAUUUAUAGUUCCUUACUGUAUGGCACUGAAGGAGCUUACAGAGCUUAAGGUUCAACUUUAAGAGCUUCUGGUUUCAUCCAUUCUAACGUGUCUCCGUGGAGGGCACCAGUUCUAUUUGUGAAGAAAAAUGAUGGUACCAUAAGGAUGUGCAUCGAUUACUAGCAGUUGAAUAAACUGACUGUGAAGAAUAAGUACCUACUUUCGAGGAUCGAUGAUCUGUUUGAUCAAUUUUGAGGGGCUUCAGUAUUCUCGAAAAUAGAUCUCUGUUUUGGGUAUCAUCAACUUAGAGUUAAGGAAGCUGAUAUUUAUAAGACGGCUUUUAGGACUCGUUAUGGGCACUACGAGUUCCUAGUUAUGCCCUUUGGUUUGACAAAGGCUCCAACUAGAUUCGUGGAUCUGGUGAACCAAGUUUUUGGUGUACUCUAAGAUUGAGGAUAAGCAUGACGAUCAUCUUAGGGUAGUGCUUCAGAUACUUCGAGAGAAACAACUUUACGCUAAGUUGAGAAAAUAUGAAUUCUGGUUGUGAGAAAUAACAUUUUUGGGGCACGUGGUUUCUACUGAGGAGAUCCGAGUUGAUUCUAGAAAGAUUGAGGUUAUGCUUGACUGGAAACAACCUAAGAACGUAUCUGAGAUCCGUAGUUUUCUAGGACUUACAUGUUAUUAUUGGAGGUUUAUUGAGGGGUUCUCGUUGAUUGCAACUCCUUUAACUAAGCUUCUGUGCAAGAGUGUUCCUUUCUUCUAGACUGAUGCGCAAUAAUCGAGCUUUGGAAAGCUCAAGUCUAUUUUGACUCAAGCUCUUAUUUUGGGAUGUGUACUGAUACAAGAUAGUAAGGUUAUGGCUUAUGCGUCUCAAUAGCUCAAGUCACGCGAGGGAAAUUAUCUGAUGCAUGAUCUCUAGUUGGCUACGGUAGUGUUUGUACUAAAGAUUUGUAGGCCCUAUCUGUAUAGUGAGAGGUGUAUUAUCUACACCGAUCACCAGAGCCUCAAGUACCUCCUUACUCAGAAGGAAAUCUUAGGCAACAUCGAUGGAUUGAGCUGCUAAAAGAUUAUAACUGCACGAUGGAGUAUCAUCCCAGUAAGACUAAUGUGGUGGCUGAUGCUCUCAGUUGUAAAGCGAUGACUGAUUUGAUAGUAGUGUUCGCUCUUCUUAGUCUGUUGGAUGAUGGGGGUCUGUUAGCCGAGUUGCAAGUUAAGCUGACUUGGAUUGGGCAGAUUUGGGAAAGGGGAUGAGUCACUGGUUCUGCGGUUUGUCAGGUUGGGAGUGGCUAUACUUUUGAUUUUAGACUAAAUAAGGAUGGAGUUCUGUGUUUUUGAGGACGGGUUUGUGUAUCAAAUGAUUUUGAUCUGUUCUGAGGGAAGCGUAUAGUAGUCCUUAUGCUAUACAUCCUAGUGGUAAUGGAUUUUCGUGAGCUGUACUAGUGGCCGAGGUUGAAACGAGAGGUAAUAGAUUUUUUUAUUCAUUGUCUGAUAUGCCAGCAAAUUAAAGUUGAGCAUUAGUUUCCUUCGAGUUUUCUCCAACCCGUUAGGAUUCUUUUAUAGAAAUGAAAACGAGUGAUGAUGGACUUCGUUAGUGGGUUGUCCUUGACACUCAUUAAGAAUAAUUUUGUUUGGGUCAUCAUGCAUCGAUUGACCAAAUCUGCCCAUUUGAUUCUGGUCCAGACGAACUUCUUUCUACAAAAGUUAGAGAAGCUCUAUAUCUCCGAGAUUGUAAGACUGCAUGGGGUUUCAGUUUCGAUAAUUUCUGAUAGGGAUCCUUGCUUCACUUCUCGUUUCUGGAUGAAACUUUAGGAAGCCCUAGGUUCGAGAUUGCACUUCAGUACUGCGUUUCAUCCUCAGACCAAUGGUCCAUCAGAGAGGGUGAUUCAGAUACUGGAGGAUAUGCUUCGGAGUUGUGUGAUUGAUUUUUGAGGUAAUUGAGAGGAUUUUCUGUUGUUAGCUGAAUUCACCUGUAACAAUAGUUUCUAUUCUAGCAUUCAUAUGGCACCUUACGAGGCUUCGUAUGAUCAUAAGUGUCGUACUUCACUAUGUUAGACUGAGUUAGGUGAGUGAUAGAUUUUGGGUCUUAAGUUGGUUUUCUAGACUGAAAAUAAGGUUAGAUUGAUUCGGGAUUGUCUGAAGGCGACUUUUGAUAGACAGAAGUCCUAUGCAGAUCUAAAAAAGAGGGAUAUUGAGUACUCUGUGGGUGAUUCUGUAUUCUUUAGGGUAUCACCGUGGAAGAAGGUUCUACGAUUCGGUCGUAAUGGCAAGUUAAGCCUUAUUCAUUGGGUCGUACCAGAUUCUGAAGCAUGUGGGACUGGUUACUUAUCAGCUAGAGUUACUUCUAGAGUUGGACUAUAUCCAUGAUGUGUUACACGUCUCGAUGUUGAGGCGGUACUAGUCUGAUCCAUCUCACGUUGUCUUUGUUGAGGAGAUCGAUGUUAGACCAGAUUUAACUUUUGAGGAGGAACCGGUUCAGAUUUUGGAUCGAGAUAUUAAGGUUUUGAGGAGGAAGUCCAUAUCGUUAGUGAAGGUUCUGUAGUGGAAUCAUGGCAUUGAGGAAGCCACGUGAGAACUUGAGGACUUGAUGCGUCAGCAGUAUCCUCAUCUGUUCGGAUCAGGUAAAUUUCGAGCCAAAAUUUCUUUUAGAGGGUAGAGUUGUAACGCCCUGAAUAAUUUAAGUAUGUUUUUAUUAAAUUUGACAUAAAAUGUGUAUCUGCUUCAGUGGUUAAGUGUUCUGGGUGUGUGUAUGAGGUCUUGGGUUCAAGUCUCCCUUUUAGCAAACUUUGUUAUUUUGAUCCAAGCCUUCUCUCUGUUAAGUGGGCUUAUGUUUUAUCUUUAGUAAACUUAUAUUAGAAUAAGCUUACGGGUUCGAGUUAUAAGGAGUUAGCUUGCUAGAAGUCCUGUGUUUGAUUCCCUGUGUGAGCGUGGAUGAUAUUUUUGUUUCGGAUGUGAGAUAGAGGUUGGGUGGAAGUAAAAUUCUGAGGUGGUGGGGAGUUAGUGGGUUAGUUAGUGAGAUAAUGGGAAGUUGAGAUAUUAGGGGUUUCAAAUUUUAUUUUAAUUUUAAUUUUAAUUCUUUGUCUUCUCAAAGUUUCUGACGUCAAUUUUUUUCUCUUUUUUCCCUCUUUCGACAUUGUUCCCUUCUCGGUAAAAUUCCUUUUCUUUUUUCUUUGAUUCUAUUUGUGGAUCCCUUGUUCAACUCGUUGCUACUAUGAUUUUCGAGUUCUUUAAUCGGUUGGUAAGUAGAACUUCGCAUCUUUUUAACAAUUGGUUUGGGAUAUUGGCGAUGUUAAGCUAUAGCGAUUAAUUAGUGGAAUCUGUAUUUAGGAGAAGAUUGUAAAGUAGAAAAUUCACUCCGACGGCCUAAUCCGUGUUAGUGGUGGUUUUCAUCGACGGUAAGUUUGUGAGCGUUGUUGAAUUUUUGUUAUGAAUUUGUAAAUUUGUUGCUAAGCAGGGCUAGGGUUACUAUUUACAGGUUUCGGUGAUCUCGGGAUUGGUUAUACUACAAAAACGAAUCAGGUGUGUACCCUUAACGUGAGAAAAUGAGAUUCGAUGAAAGCUGAAAUUAGAGUCUGUUUAUGCCACACGGGUGUGUGCCUGACUGUGUGGCACGACACGACCGUGUGACUGACGAGGGUGUGACCAUGCGCAAGACACGGCUGUGUGAUAGUGUGUUAGGAGUUUGGUUGAGUGUGGGUCUUAGCUUAUUUGGUACCUUAGUUUUUUUUGUUCAAUUUAAUUCCUGAACUUAAUAUUUUUUUCUUAAUUUAGUACUUAAGCUUCUUUUUUUUCCAAUUUGGUAUCUAACUUGUUAAAGGUUUUACAAAUUUCUCCAAUAUAAUAACAAUUUUAUUUUUAUAAGGUGCGAAAAUAAUCAAUGUAUGAUUAACGUAUGACAGAUGACAUGAGAUUGAUUUUUUGUAUUUUAAUGGUUAAAUUACUUUUAAUUAAUUAUUUUAUUUUACCUUUUUAAUUUAAUAAUGAAUUUCUUUUUAUUUUUGGGUUUUAAAACUUUUUUUUCAAUAUUCAUUCAUUAAGCGUAGCUCAAAGUACAAUCUUUUAACAUAAUUUUCCUCUAAUACUGACAAUAUUUUUGUGGGAUUUGAUGGCUUUAUGAAAACUAGGUCAUGCUUUAAGCAUGUGGUUCCUCUUGUAACAUUCUUGCCAUUAACUGUCAAAGUAAUCUUAGCCUUGAUGAAAUGUAAAUUUUGAACAUGUUGUUUAGAAAAAUAGAGAAAACUUCAAAUAAAUGUAAUCAUCCCUGUCAUUAAAUUCCAUAUCAUUGGUCACAUGACAACCAUACGUUAGCUACCUCAUAAAAAAAAUGAAGAUCAUUAGUGUUUUGAGGUAAUUUGUAUAAUAUUUAAAAGGUUUAAGUGUCAAAUUAAAUAAAAAAUGAUUAAGUAUCAAAUUAUAAGAAAAAUGUCAAAAUUAAGUACCAAAUGUUAAAUAAUUAUAACAAUAUAUUAUUAGUCGGCUUACAGUUUGAUUUCCUCUUUCCCAGUUGAUUGGAACAGUUUGUGGACAAAGGGUUUGAUAUUAGAGGCGGGAUUUAGGGUUUAACAUUUAAAAAUUUAUGGUUAAAAGUUUAUAAGGUUUAAAAUUUAGGAUUUGUGUUUUGUAAAAAUAAAAAUAGAAGUAUAUAUUUAUUUUACAAAGUCACAAAUUUGUAAAAAAAAAAAAUUAAAUUAAAUUAGUUUCUAGAAUUACAUUAAGAAUAAACUUUCAACAUUCACUCAUUUUCUUCUAAGAUUUUAAGAUAAUGGAUUUAUCAUGCGAAGACUUGAACCCCACAAUAUACGAUAUAUGAAGAUAAUGGAUUUAUUUAACCCCACCAUGCAACAUAUAAGGAUAUAUGGUUAGGUAAACUCAUAUUUUCUUUUAUAAAGUUUUACAAUUAAUAAAGAUUAUUUUUUAGUAAAAUAUAAAUUCAAACUCGCACACAAAUAAAUUUAUGAUUUCGACCCUAAUUUCAAAUAUAAAUGAACUUUUAAAUUAUGGGUAUCGUAUUAUGAAACGAUAAACUUCCUAUGUGCCACAUUGAAAUUUUUUAUAUGGAGUGAAUCUCAUAAUUUUUGUUUUCUUAAUUUUGUUUUAAAGCAAUGAAAUAUAGAUCACGUGAAUGUUGAUAUAAAAUGGGAAAUGGAGACGAGUGAUAUUAAUUUGUAGAUAAAGUUAAUAUUACGUAGUCGCAUAAAGCGGCAUAGUACACAACCCACAACUCUGGAAUUUUAACAUCCAUAUUUAUUCUGUAGCUAUCGUUAUUUUGGCUUCCACUAGCUGGUGAACUUUCCAUGCCAAAACUUCACUUGACGCUGCAAAUGAAACAACAAAAAACACAACAUUAAAUGUUGAGCAAGUAAUAAGCAUAAGCAAUGAAACAACUCAUACGAACCUGUUGCAGUCAGUGCUAGGGCUGAUCUUGUAAGGGAUGUUGACACCGCACUUGCCUGGGAGUCCGCUUGCAAUACCAUAGUUGAUGCCAGAAAUGCCGGCGGCCGCACUUUUGAUGCAUUUGCAAGCUGCUUGCCGGUCUGGUGUUGUUUGGGCGGCGGAGUUGAGAGAUUUUAUGCCGCCGCAGCAACCUGGGGGAACGCCACCAGCACCAUUCCCUGUCAAGUAACCAAUGCAGGGUGCGAGGGAGCUUGUGACUUGACCACAGGUUACGGCCCCUUGAGCCAGGGGUGCACCCACCACCAUGCACAACACCGCCACACAUGCAAGCUUAAGGGACAUUGAGCUAGCCAUAUCGAUUAAUCACAAGAAAAACAAACUUGUAAGGAAAAUGCUUGCUUGGAGUAGUAGUACUAUUGCUGAUUGUCGUGGUUAGGGCUUGAGGGUAGGAGGGUUUUUAUAGCCAAAAGUAGUAGCGGGUGAUGUCUGAAUUUUACUUUCCUAGCUAUUAGGUAAGUUGAGAUUAUCCGAUCCAAACAUUAACACACCACAUUAAAAGUUGAGACCAUUCAAUUAGGUUCAACUGCCAACCUACGUGAUUAUUGUUUUCUUUCAAUACAAUUAAAACCAGCGUCCAUUUGAUUUCACUCAAUCAUGCCUCCACAGCUAGGACUCAAAUAUUGGUUUAACUUUUUUCUAGGUGUUUUCUUAUAAACAUGAGAUUUACAUUUGAUGUAUUUAUAACUGCAUUUAUUGUCAGAAUGAUACCAUUUUAUUAAAAGUAAUUUGAUUUAUAAUUGUUUGUAUAUAUACUUUUAUAUAUUAAGUCUUUAAUUGAAUUGGUAUUACGAUUCACCCAAGCAUCUAUUUAAUUGAAAAUUUGUUAAAAUAUUCAUAUAACAAAUAUUAAUAUAAAUGUAUUUUUAUUUUUAUUAUAAAUAAAACUAUAAUAAGAUUUAAACUUAUGACUCAUAAAUUUUACUCUUUUUAACUUAACUAUUUCAACUAAAAUUUUAUUUAGUUUUAAUAUAAAUUUUUAUAAAUAUAUUAUUUACAUGAAUUUUCCUUUUCCAGGCGGUAUGCCAUGGAACUAAUAUAAAAUAUAAACAAAUGGUUAUUUUGUUAUUUUCAAUGGAAAAAAAAAACUUCACAAGAUUAGGACACAUGCAUGGUUUUUUUAAUAUAUAUAUAUAUAUCAUGCAACAUUCUAAAUCUAUUUAUAGAUUAUUUUGUUGAUUGAAUUUUUAUUUUUUUUUAUUUUGGUAAUUAUAUAAAACUAAAUAUUUUCUUCGCGCAAUGUUAAGAGCAGUUUGAAAUUUAAAAGAAGUGUGGAUUCUAAUAAUAAAUUUAGUUAUCUAAUGUUUACAUAUUUUAUUAAUUUGGCCUUAAAUAUAAAAAUUAAAUUCAACAAAAUUAGCCCUCAAUGUUUACAAAAUUUUUCAUUUUAGUUCAAAUUCUAAAAUAAUCCAAUAAAUUUAGCUCUCAACAUUUAUAAAAUGAAAGGAUUUGAUUUUUAAAAUUUUAAUUUUUUUUUUAAAAACCCAAAACACAAACCUAAAUAAACUGAAAAAGAAGAAGGAAUAAUUAUCAUCACCACGACCUAAUCUCUCAACUUUAAAAUAAGACUUCAACUUCGGUUUAACCCCAAGACAAGGCGAAACAUUGAAAGUAAGUGCAGCGGAUGCCAUUGAUUCUCCUACCUUUUGGCUAAACACAUAAAUUUGAACAACUUCAUACAUAACUAGCAGCAGUACUAAAAAAUCAUUAAUACUAUAUUUUCAAGUACAAGAAAUUGAAAAAAGAAUCACGGGUAGAGUACAAAAAUGAAAUUUGGUGUGAACCUAGAUUAACAAAACAAGGUUCACGGUUUCUCAAAAACACAAUACUAUAUUUUUAGAAUUUCUUGUGAAGAUCAAGCAAUGAGACAAAUACUGAAAUUGUGCCUUAAUAGCAAAUAAUAAUUCAAACCAAUGUAGAAAAAAGAUGAAGAAGAAGAAGAUAGGAAAAGAAUUUUUAGUUUACAUUAAAAGCCUUGAAAAGGUAGACCGAUAGGAUUGAUUGUUUUGAAUAUUACUCAACUUUCUCAUUAAUUCUUGUACUAUUAUGGCUAAGUGUGUUUUUAGAUGGUAAUGAAUUUUUUUAAUUGUUAAUAAUUUUUACAAUUAUUACACUUGAUUUGGCAGUUGUUUUUCUUUUUAAUUUACAAAAUUUUAAAAAAUUAAAAAUUUCUAUUUUGUAAAUGCUAAGAGCUAAAUUUAUUAUUAUUUAUUUUAGAAUCUAAACUAAAGUGACAAAUUUUGUAAAUAUUUGGUGUUAAAUUUAUUGGAUUUUUAUAUUUAAAAUCAAAUUGAUAGAAUGUGUAAAGAAAGUUAAUUUUUUUAUUAGACAAAUAAAAAAUAACCCAUUUCAACACUUCCGAAAAAUUUUCAAACGGCCGUUAACAUUUAGUGACGAAAAUAUUUGAUUUCAUAUAAUUUAAUAAUUAAAAUAAAAAUAAUUAAAAAUUUAGUAAUCAAAGUAAAACACAAGUGAUAUUAUUCUAGUGAUCAUUUCUGUACUUGACCCUAAUUUUUUUUUCAAAACACUGUUAAAAAACGAUUAAUUUCUCGUUUUGGCCGGAGUUAAAAUUUUUAAUAUAUUUGUUUUUAUUAAAUUUAAAAAUUAUAAUUUUACAUAAUAUAUUUUUGAUAGAAUACAUAUGAUAUAAUUUUAAUCAGUGACACCUGUUAAAGCUUGUUAGAUCUCCUGUAUCUCUUUCAAUCUGGUGGUAAAUGAAGCAAUCAAUGAGUAUUACAACCAGCCACAUGUCAUUCAAUUCACAUUAUAUCAAUCUUUUCCCUUUUCUCUCAUUUUGGUAGUUAAUUCCUUUUUUUGUCAUCGAAAUUAUAUUUUUUUCUCAAAUUGAUAAUUUCCUUAAUCCGUUAAGUUUGUUAAAAGAAACCUUAAUCUUAUUUAAAUUAUAUCUUUUUUUAUUUAUUUUGAUACUUAAACAUUUUUGUCACAUGUGGUAUGUAAUUUAUUUUUUCUUAAGUUGUUAGUUUAAUUAUUACUCAAAUAGUUAAGUCUAUUUAAAAAAAGAUAACUAUUUAAAAAUUACCAUAUUCGAACUAGCUAGGCCAUUAGUUCCUGGUUUAAUCAGUUUAUCUAGUUUGAUGAAAUCAAUUAUUAAAAAUUCAUAAAAAUAAAAAUGUUAAAAAAUAGAGAAAACUAGCUCAACUAGUUUUUUUUUUAAGCUCGACUCAAUCAAUCUGUAUUAGUUUGUAGGUUAAUCGGUUCAAGCCCUAUCUCCAAACUAGUAUCCCAGUUGGUUCCUAGUAUUAAGGGUGAGCAAAAUUUGAAUCGACUCGAAAAAAUUUAAAAAAGUUCGAAUUUUGAAUUAUUCGAAUCGAGUUAAUCGAAUCAACUCGAUUUUUUUUUAAUUUCAAGUUCGAGUCGAGUUGAGUUUUUGAAUUCAAAUAACUCGAAUAAUUCGAUUAAGCCGAAUACCAAACUAUAAUAUUUUACAUUUUACCUCAAACCCCAAACCCUUUUACUUUUCCCCCAAAACUUUACUCAUUCCUCCUUGUCUGCCCCUGUAACGCCCCAAAUUUUGAAUUGUUACUGUUAGUUUCUAUUUAUAAGUAAGUAUUUGCUUCAGUGGUUAAGUGUUAUGUGUUGGUGUUUGGAUCGGGGGUUCAAGUUAUACUUUUAGAGAAUUUUAUUAUUCUUUUGUUUCAACUCUUAUCCUUGAAUGUUUGAAUUAAGUUUGUAUCUGCAUUAAUUUGUGUCAAGAACGAGUCUUCUAGUUUAAUGGUUAAGUUUUGUAUUACCUAUGGUCUCGUGUUCGAGUCUCUGCGUAGGCAAUAAAGAAAUAUUUUGGCGUGCUAUCGGGAAAUCAGUUUUAUUUUAAUAAUUAUUUUUAUUUAAAACUUAUUUUUAGUUUUUUUUAUUUUGGUUCUUCUCCUUCCUUACUGUUCAUUUCCUUCUUCUUUUUUCUCCUUUUGUAACACCCCUAACUCGAAUCCGUCGCUGGAACAGGGUUAGGAGUAUUAUCGAAGUUUACAAUUUAAACAGGCAGAAAAAUUAAACAUUUCAUAACAUAUAGCAUUCAUGUUAGAAACCAAUCAUAAUUAUGCAUAUUGUCCCUAAUACGAGCCCUCGAGGCCCAAAAUACACCUUAGAAAUAAUUCGGGACUAAAUUGAAAAUUCGGAGCAUUUUUUAGAAACUUAUAAAAUUUUUAAAACUACAGGGGUCACAUGGCCGUGUGGCUAGGCUGUGUGACUCAUAUGGCCAACAGACACGCCCAUGUCUUAGACCGUGCGGGUAUUCGAAAUAGGGACACACGGUCGUGUCCCAGCCUGUGUCCAUGCCCGUGUAACUCACUAACUUGGGCCACACGGUCAAGCCAUACGCCCGUGUGCCAGGCAUUGUGAGCAUACUAACUUGCAUUCUUUAAAAGAUACAGGGGACACACGGCCAUGUCACCUGACCGUGUGUGACACACGCCCGUGUCUCUGCCCGUGUGGACAAAAAUAGGCUAUUUUUCAAGUCAUAAAUAUUCAUGUAUUCUUUAAAAGAUACAGGGGACACACGCCCGUGUCUCUGCCCGUGUCUCUGCCCAAUUUGGUACCAACCUAAACACAACAAUUUGCAUAUAACCAAGUCAUAAAUAGGCACCCAAAACCAGCCAAAAUCAAGCUUAAAACAUGUAAUAUCAUCACAUACAACCAAUAUGCCCUUAGGCACCUCAAAUGACAACUUAUAAUAUUAAUAUUCAUGUAUUCAAUAUAGCCAAAUGUAUAACUCACUUAUAUGCAUAUUUUCAUCCAAAGUUUAUUAAGCAAAUUUACAUCAUUUCUUACCAAAUUACUUACCUUCCAAAACAUAUUAUUUGGUGCUAAAAUGUAUUUAACAUACUAACAUAUUUAACUUAUAUGCCUUACAUAUCCAGACACCAAUUCAUGAUCAAUUCUUCACAUUUCAAAACACAUAUAUGAAAUGCACAUUAGGUUACCUUUUUACCACUAUUUAUUCAAUCAUGAACCAAACUACAUGUCAACCAUAAUAAGCAAAAUAUGCACAUAUCCAAAAUUCCAUAACACAAACAAAACAAAUGGCUAAUCUCAACAAAACACAUAUAAGCCAACAUUGGCCAAACUAAUCUAUACAUGCCAUUAUAACCGAAAUUAAACAACCGAAUGUACCAAAAGAGCCAAUGGAUAGUGUGAUAUAGCUCCGACAAGCUUCCAACCAGAACGAGCUUUCGAAUCACUAAAAACACAGAAAAUAACACAGAGUAAGCAUUCAAGCUUAGUAAGUUCAUAUAGCAUAUAAUUUAACUUACCAUUUAGUCACAUUUAAGGUAAGCAUACAAAACAUAUCCAAACUCAAUUAGGAUAAAAGCCUCAACACAUAUCCUCAUCAACCAUGUUAGUCAUGUAAUUCAUAUAAAUAUCAAGAAACAUGUAUGAGCUCAACAAUAAUCAAACUUCUAUGUACAUAUAAUUUCCACAUCAUGUAUUUACAUAUCAUGUACAAAUCAUUUUCAUAUAUCUCAUGUAAAUACAUGUAGUAGUUUGUAUUGAACUCGUGUAAUAUCAUAACAGAACAGUGCCCGUUGAACCAUUUAGAUUAUUUUUGGAUACGCGGAUAGUACACAUGAGGUGUACUGAACUGUAAUUCAUCAAUUCAUGUACAUGUAUGCUCAUAUGAGCUAUAAACAGUAAGCUCCUCUGAAAUGAAUAACAAUAAGCUUGUACAAGCUGAAUAUCGGUAAGCUCAUAUGAGCUGAGUAUCGGUAAGCUCAUAAGAGCUGAAAUCGAUAACCCUAAUGACAUGUUUACCAAGCCAUGACAUUCCACUAACACAUUUAACCUUUAAAAUUAUUUCAAUUUACAAGUUUAAGAAAGAACAUAAAAGAUGAUACUUGGCUUUAUUUUACUAAAUUUUGUUAUUUACUUAAUUACUUAUUUAACCUUUAAAAUCAUUUCAAUUUACAAGUUUACUAAGCCAUGACAUUCCACUAACACAUUUAAGGGUUAUUUACCAUAUAAGGACCUCUACUUUAAAUUUUUAUAGCUAUUUAAUACCUUUAGCUAUUAGAACUUUACUUUUACACUUUACGCGAUUUAGUCAUUUUUAUCAAAUUGAACAUGUAAACGGUAAAAUUUCUUAACGAAAUUUUCAUAUGGUAAUAUUAUCAUGUUUUCGACCAUAAAAUAAUAAUAAAAUAAAAUUUUUUACUUCAUAUUUGUGGUCCCAAAACUACUAUUCUGAUUUCACUGAAAAUGGGUUGUUACACCUUUCUUGCUUGAUUGCUUCCGUAAGUUUGCUAUCGUGCUUAAUUGGGCAUUCUGUGUGGUUUCUUACAUUGAUUGCAAGGAUAUUGCGUAAGUUAUGUUCUUGUUUUUUACCUAUUUUUUCUAGACUUCGUCUGUUUCGUCGAGGUUAGAUAUUACUGUUAAUGGUUGUAAAAUCUCGUUAAUAGUUCCAAUGGAUCUUCUUUUAGGAAAAGGUUUCAAAAGUAACAUUUCCCUGUGAGAUUAGGUCCGAAUUGUUGUUGCUUGCUUGUCAGUAAUUGAAAAUUUCUAUUUUGGAUAGCUGCGUCGAAGUUUUCGACGAACGUUAGUUUUGAGUGCUAAUUUUGGCAUUUUGAGUUGAUUUAGUCAUUUAAUUGGUCAAUUAAUUGUCGUUUUAGGUUUCAGAUUCUUGUGUGUUGCUUCUACAUCGAAACUACAUCAAGUGUGUAACGAAAACUCAUUUUUCUAUGAUUUACGAAUGCUAGAAAACAUGGCUGUUAAUCACACGACCGUGUGUUAGGCCAUGUAACUUACUGUUUAUGUAUUAAAGUCACCGAGCCAAGGACGUGGGCAUGUGUCCUAGUCGUGUAACUUACUAUUUGUGGAUUGGAGUCACACAGGCUAGGGACACGUUUGUGUGUCCAGACUGUGUGAAGGAAAUUUUAUGAAUUGAGUCACACAAGCGUGUGCUUGACUAUGUCAUAGACCGUGUAACUCACUUUUUUGAGCCACACGAUCGUGUGCCAGGCCGUGUGAUAGAUCGUGUGCUACACGGGCCAGCCUUCCGGGACAUGUGAAUCCACACAAGUGUGUGGGUCAAAAUUUCAAAUUUUUUAUUAGGGCCGUAAACAUCAUUCCAGUCAAACGUAGGCCUACUGUAGGGUCUGGAUGAUCUGAUUUGGGUUAUAAAACCCAUUGACUAGUUAUCUGUUUCUGUAUAAACUGUUAUUUUAUAUACAUCAUAGAAUUGUAAACUAGAGAGUAGUUGUAUUCUGUAUUAAUUGAGUAUAACCUGAAAUUUGUAACAUCGUAUGCUUAUAUCUGUAUCUGUAACAUUGCAUCUGCAUUGGGGUUGGGAUUGAAUAAGGAGGAAGUUAUGGCAGUUAAAUAAUCUGCUAAGACCGGUGGCUAAGACACGUAAAUGUAUCUAAUUUUGGUGACUUUCGCAUUCUGUCCUAGCAAUUAGUCUGCAACCUUUUGAACGUGACAUAUGGUCACUAUGUGGUGUGUAGGGACGAUACCCUUUUUGGUGUGUAGGGUUGGAUGAAGAUGGUGUGUAAUUGACAUAUUCUACUCUAUUUCCGUAUAUAAUUCUGAGAACUGUUCGAACUUUAAGAAAUUGAAGAUCUAUUUUGUUGUUUCACUUAAUAAUAAUAUAAGUUAUACGCUAUGUAUAACACCCUUUACCCGAGACCGUGGUCGGAGUCGAGCAUGAGGUGUUACUUGACUUAAAUUAAAAGUUCAGGGCAUAAAAAUUUACUUUCAAAAUUAAUUUCACCAUUCACAAUAAAGUUGUCCACCUGAGCAGCAGUCACUAAAUUAAUUAUAACUCAAGCUAAGAAACUCGAAAUUUAGAUUCGUAAAUUUUCCCUGAAACUAGACUCAUAUAUCUAUUCACAAAAUUUUUUUAGAAUUUUUGAUUUGACCAAUUAGUACAGUUUAUUAGUUGAAGUCUCCCCAGUUUCACUAAUCGACUAUCCUGACCUCUCGUCACUAAAAUUCAAUUAUCUCAUUAUACACACUUGGCAUGCUGAUUCCACUUAUUUAUACUUAAAAUAUACUCAUUAAGGAAUUUAAAAAUAUAAUUUAUAACUCAUAAUUCUAUUUGUACAAUUUUUAAUGAAUUUCUAAAGUCAGAACAGGGGACUUCAGAAUCAUUCUGACUCUGUCUCACUAAAAUUAAAAUAUCUAAAAGUAUAUAACUCUUUUACUUACUCUAUUGCUUUCAUGUGAAAGUAGACUCAUUCAGAUUUAAUUUCAUCUCUCGCUAAACUUAUAAUUCUAUUUCUACAAUUUUUGGUGAUUUUUCAAAGUUACAUCAAUGCUGCUGCCCAAAAAUAGUUCCAUUGAAAUUUUUUUAAAAAAAUUCAAUAUAACCCCUUUAUAAUUAUCUAACCUUCCCUGCAAAUUUCAAAUCACAACCAAUUUCAGUAUUUCAACUACUUCACUUAAAUACUAAUGAAGUUCAACUAAUCAACCAUUUCAAACUAAAAACAUGUAUAGUUCAAUGUUUAACACAACCAUCACAUUCAAAUUUAUUCAUUCUAUUACUUUUUACUUCAAUUCCCUAUACAUGUCAUAUAAAUCCAAAAAGUUGUUUAACAAAAUCUACAGGAGUAAAUCUGGAUAGUGUGAUUCUUGGUGUAGAUCUGAUCCUCCGAAUGUAUAAAUACGUCAACCUACAAGAAUCAAUAAACACACAAUUAAGCGUAUAGAAAGCUUAGUAAGUUCAUAGGCACCAAACAUAAAUCUUACCAAACAUUUAUACACUUAUACAUUAUACACCAUUACUAAGUUUACCUGUCAACCACAAUCUUUGGUGAGCUCCUUAGUAUAAACUCACUACUACUUAUUCUUUUACCAUAAUUCCUUUGGGCCCAUUUGUCACUUACCAUCCUUGAUCAAAAUUAAGGAACGGUUACGGAAAAUUGAGUACUUCACUUUCACUUUGCCAUAGUAUAACUAUGGUCUUACGUAUGAUCAAGCAUCACUUGUCCUUGAUAAGAUAAGUGUAGCUAGGCAACCACUUAUCACUUUGUCACUUGAUCAGAUAAGUGUAGCUAAAGCUACCACUUAUCAUUUUAUCACCACUUAUCACUUGUUCUUGAUUAGAUAAGUGUAGCUAAAGUUACCACUUAUCACUUUGUCACCACUUAUCACUUGUUCCUAAUCAGAUAAGUGUAGCUAAAACUACCACUUAUCACUUUGUCACUUGAUCAGAUAAGUGUAGCUAAGCUAUCACUUAUCACUUUGUCACUUGAUCAGAAGUACUCAAAUCCGGUGUUCUACUCAAUUUGAUCAUUUAUUCAGUUUUCACAUUUUUAUUUUAUUCUCAUUUCAUCAAUAAAUAUAUAUAUUUCAUCAUACAUUAUAUAAUUCAUGAAAUUAACAUUUAAUCAUUAAAUUUUAGCCAUAUGAACUUACCUGGGUUGAUUUGCUGAAUUUGUAAAAGUUUAGGGACUAAUCAGCUACUUUUUCUUUUCCUCGACUUGUUUCGGGUUCUCAAUAUGAUUCAAAUAUAUGAAAAACCAACUUGGAGGGACUCUUCAAUGGUGUUUUUUGCUAAAAAAUAUGAGGAAUUGCCUAGAAACACUUUUAGUUAAGAUUUUUAUUUGUUAAUUUUUACAAAAUUUCCAAUUUUGCCCUUAUUACAUCACUUUUUCAAAUUUUUCUUCUCUUAUGUCGUCUCAACUAUUCCAUAUUGGCAUAUUUAUGCCUUAAGUCCCUCCUUAUUUACCACUUAAGCUAUUUAAUCACUUUUAACAAAUUUUACAUUAUUUUCAGUUUAAUCCUUUUUAAUUAAUUAACCACCCAAACGUUAGAAUUUUCUAACGAAAAUUUAAUACCAACUCAAUGACACUCCAUAAAUGUUUCUAAAAAUAUUUAUGGCUCGAUUUAUGAGGUUGAGGUUUCAAUACCUCAUUUUCGAUUCUAAUUAUUUUAAUAUUUAUUCUUAGUACACUAUUCACUAUUUCAAAAAUUUUCCUAACUUCGCAUUUAACUUAUACUCACUAAAUUAAUAAUAUUUUCUACUCAUUUGUCAAAUUUAAUGAUCUCGAAUUACCAUUCCGACACCACUGAAAAUUCAGGCCAUUACAACUCUCCCCCCAUUUUGGAAAUUUCAUCCCCGAAAUUUCGUACCUGAAAAUAAAUUCGGAUACUGAAAUCUCAGCAAUUCCUCUGUUUCCCAGGUUGCCUCCUCUUUAACCUUAACUAGUGGUACAUGUUUAUUCCUCAACUCUUUAACCUUCUGAGCUAAAAUUUUCACCGGUUCCUCUGAAUAAGUCAUGUCAGGUUGAAGCUCUAUUUCCGUAUGAGGAAUUACAUGUGAUGGAUCUGAUCUGUACCGUCUCAACAUAGACACAUGAAACACAUUAUGAAUCUUUUCAAGUUCCGGGGGCAAAGCUAAUCUAUAGGUUACCGGACCGAUUCUUUCAAUGAUUUCAUACGGCCCAAUAAAUCGUGGGCUGAGUUUCCCCUUUUUGCUGAACCGCAAAACUUUCUUCCACGUGACACUUUCAAAAAUACACGAUCACCCACAUUAAACUCUAUAUCCCUUCUCUUCAAAUUUGCAUAUGAUUUUUGCCGAUCGGAGGUAGCUUUUAAACAAUCUCGAAUAAUACGAACUUUUUCUUCAGUUUCCUGAGUCAAUUCCACUCCCACCAGUUUCGAUUCACUUAAUUCAGACCAAUAUAAUGGAGUUCUACACUUUCUUCCAUACAAAGCUUCAAACGGUGCCAUUUUAAUGCUAGUUUGAUAACUAUUAUUAUAAGCAAAUUCGGCUAAAGGUAAAUACCUUUCCCAGCUACCGCCGAACUCAAGUAUACAACACCUUAACAUAUCUUCUAAAAUCUGAAUCACUCGCUCUGACUGCCCAUCUGUCUAGGGAUGAAAAGCUGUGUUGAAAUUUAAUUUGGUGCCUAAAGCUUCCUGUAAUUUACUCUAAAAUCUCGAGGUAAAUCUCGGAUCUCGAUAUGAAAUAAUAGAUGUCGGUACCCCAUGUAACCUCACUAUCUCAGACACAUAUAACUCCGCUAACUUUUCAAGCUGAUAAUCUGCUCUGACUGGAAUAAAAUGUGCUGACUUAGUUAACCGAUCAACAAUCACCCAUAUUGAAUGUUUCUUCUUCAGAGUUAUUAGUAAUCCAGAUACAAAAUCCAUUGUAACAUGUUCCCAUUUCCAAUCUGGAAUCAUAAUGGGCUGUAACAACCCUGUCGGCACUUGAUGCUCAGCUUUCACCUGUUGACAGAUCAAACAUCUUGCUACAUACUCAAAGAUUUCCCGUUUCAUUCCGGGCCACCAAUACAUUUUCUUCAAAUCACAAUACAUUUUUGUACUACCCGGGUAAAUAGAACACAUACUACUGUGAGCCUCUGAUAAAAUAUCAUUUUUCAAGUUUAAAUUAUUCGGAAUACAUAUUCUAUUACGAUAAUAUAACAUACCAUUUUCAUCAAUGGAGUAUUCUGAGCUUAACUUAUCUUGAACCAUCUGUCGUUUUAUCAUCAAUUUUGGGUCAUCAUCCUAUAACUCCCGAAUCCGUUGAAAAAACACGGGUUUAGCCUUUAAUUCUGCUAGUACAGAACCAUCCUCAUUAAUAGAUAAAUGAGCAUUCAAUGCCCGUAGUGCAAAUAAUGAUGAUUUCCGACUAAGCGCAUCUGCUGCGGUAUUUGCUUUCCCUCGGUGAUAGUCAAUGACAAGAUCAUAAUCUUUCAGCAACCCCAACCAUCGUCUCUGUGUCAAAUUUAACUCUUUCUGAGUCAUUAAAUACUUCAAGCUUUUAUGAUCAGUAUACACGUAACAUUUCUCACCAUAUAAGUACUCUUCAUAUCUUCAAAGCAAACACGAUCGCUGCCAAUUCCAAAUCAUGUGUAGGAUAAUUCUUCUCGUGCGGUUUCAGUUGCCGAGAAGCAUAUGCCACCACUUUGCCUGACUGAAUAAGUACACAGCCCAACCCAUUUACAGACGCAUCACUAUAUACUACAAACGGUACACCCGAUUCUGGUUGAGUCAACACUGGAGCCUCUGUCAACAUCUUUUUCAACUAAUCGAAACUCCGCUGACAUUCAUCUAACCAUAUAAAUUCAACAUUCUUUUGUAGCAAUCGAGUCAACGGUAAGGUAAUCAUUGAGAAAUCUUUGACAAAUCGACGAUAAUAACCUGCCAAUCGUAGAAAACUCUGCACUUCAGUCACAUUCUUCGGAACUUUCCAAUUUAUCACUGCUGCUACCUUACUUGGAUCCACUCUUAUUCCAUCAGCUGAUACAAUAUGACCCAAAAACGCAACUUCAUGGAGCCAAAAUUCACAUUUGCUAAAUUUGGCAUACAAUUGUUUCUCCCACAAAGUCUGUAAUACAAUCCUUAGAUGUUGUGCAUGUUCGGACUCUGUCUUUGAAUAAAUCAAUAUAUCGUCAAUGAACACAACCACAAAUCUAUCCAAAUAUGACUGAAAAAUUCUAUUCAUCAAAUCCAUAAAAGCAGCAGGGGCAUUGGUUAAACCAAAUGGCAUCACCAAAAAUUCAAAAUGACCAUAUUGAGUUCGAAAGGCAGUUUUCGGCACUUCACACUCUUUAACUUUCAACUGAUAAUACUCGGAUCGAAGAUCUAUCAUGGAAAAUACUGCAGCACCUUUCAACUGAUCAAACAAAUCAUCAAUAUGAGGCAAAGGAUUUUUAUUCUUUACUGUUACCUUAUUCAACUGUCUGUAAUCUAUACACAGUCUUAAAAAACCAUCCUUCAUUUUCACAAACAAGACAGGUGCACCCCAGGGCGACAUACUCGGUCUGAUGAACCCUUUAUCUAAUAACUCCUGCAGCUGCGCCUUCCGUUCUUUUAACUCGACUGGAGCCAUUCUGUACGGUGUCAUUGAGAUAGGAGUUGUUCCGGGGAUCACAUCAAUUACAAAUUCAACUUCUCUAUCAGGUGGUAGACCGGGUAACUCUUCAGGGAAUUCAUUCACCAUUGGCACUUGUUCGAGCUUCAAAUCAGAACCCUGAGUAUCCAGGAUAUAGGCCAAGAAUGCUUCGUUGCCUUUGCGUAAUAACCUCUGAGCAGAGAGAGCUAAAAUAAUUCUGACUGUAUCACCCAGCUUUUCAGACCCAACUGAGAUUAUAUCUCCCGUUUGACAUUUCAAACUGAUCUGUUUAUCACGACAAUUCACUACCACAUCAUGUCUCAUUAACCAGUCCAUCCCCAGAAUAAUGUCAAAUUCCCGAAAAGGUAACAACAUCAAAUCAGCGAGGAAUUCAUAGCCUUUCACUUUCAGUGGACAAUUACGACAUAUCAAAUUAACCAUCACACUUUGACCUAAUGGGUUUGUGACUUGUAUAUCAAAUUCAGUGGACUCAACAGAUAAUUUCUUUUUAGAUGCUAACAUAGUGCAAAUAUAUGAAUGAGUAGAUCCAGGGUCUAUCAAUGCAUAAACAAUAACAUCAUAAAGAUAGAAAGUACCAGCAAUUACAUCAGGAGCCGUAGCCUCUUUCCUUGCUCGAAUGGCGUAGGUACGUGCUGGUGCUCUAUUCUCUGAUCGACCAACUGAUUCCCUCGUACCCGAACGGGUAGUCCCUGUAGCACUGCUCUGGCCCGAACGUCUACUUUUUUGGGGAAUGGUUCUCUGUAUUUCUUUCUGUUCCACUUCAUCUUUUUAUAGUCGGGGACAAUCUCGAAUAAGAUGAUUAGUACCCCCACAUUUUUAACAAGCCCCCAUCUUGGUCCUGCAUUCUCUGAAAUGAUAUCUUCCACAAUAUUGACACUUAGGCCGGGGAACAUUCUGAACACUGCUCACACUUGCUGGAGGUCUAUCGAAUACCCUGAAAUCAGAUUGUCUUGGUCUAUCUCUACCCGAUCUUCUCGACAUUGAUGUAGUUCGACUAAUUUCUUCUCUAGAUUUGUUCACUGGUAAAUCUAAAAAUGACUUAGAAGCACCUCUUUUGAAUGGCUCUUUACUUUUUCGAUCCCGCUACAUUUUUCUGUUGUAUACUUCUUCGAGCUUUUGAGCACGGUUUGACAGAACAGGGAACUCUCGUAUUUCAUUACCCCCAAUCAUCAUUCUAAUUUCAUCAUUUAACCCUUCUUCAAACCUGAUACACAUUUCUUCUUUAAUAAGUACAAUGUCUCGGGCAUAUUUGCUGAGGUAGACAAAUUCUCUUUCGUAUUCAGCCACUGAUUUAUCUCCCUGGCGUAGGUCGAGAAAUUCCCUUUUAUUUUUAUCCAAAUACCGUCUGCCCACAUAUUUCUUCUUAAAUUCAUUUUGGAAAAAUUCCCAAUAAAUUUUCUCUGUCGGAACCACAUCCUCAAUCGUCUCCCACCAACUAUAAGCUUCUUCUUUCAAUAGAGACACAACACAUCUCAAAUAAUCAUCUGGUGAGCAAGCCAUUUCUUUAAAAAUUCUUAUUAAACUCUGUAACCAAUAUUCAGCUUUGACGGGAUCUUUAUCAGUCCUUCCCCGAAAUUCUUCGGCUCUAAGUUUUUUAAGCCUUUCCAAUGGAGAACGCUUUCUGGAUUCAGUCGUUGUAAAAGGUGGAGGAGCAACCGGGUGUACCACCGAUGGAGCAGUAGGGGGAGGAGGUGGUUCAGCCUGAUUUCUUUCUUGCCUCAUUUCAGUAUAUCAUUGAUUCAUAAUCCCAUAAAUCAUAUUCUUUAACUCUUGCUCUCGCAUUUGGGAGAUCGGAACAUCACUGCUUGUUCUUUGUUUAGAAUUAUGUAUUCUACUAUUAACUUCUUCUUUCUCAGUACGUUUAGGUAUAUCUAACAUCUCCAUAACCGGAGAAUAUCUACUAUUAACUUCUUCUUACUGGAUUCAGUCGUUGUAAGAGGUGGAGAAGCAACCGGGGGUACCACCGAUGGAGCAGUAGGCAGAGGAGGUGGUUCAGCCUGAUUUCUUUCUUGCCUCAUUUCAGUAUACCACUGAUUCAUAAUCCCAUAAAUCAUAUUCUUUAACUCUUGCUCCCGUAUUUGGGAGAUCAGAACACCACUGCUUGUUCUUUGUUCAGAAUUAUGUAUUCUACUAUUAACUUCUUCUUGCUCAGUACGUUCAAGUAUAUCUGACAUCUCUAUAACCGGAGAAUAUCUAUAAAAAUAACAAAGAUUAGAUCGCAUCAUACGCAUUACACUAUCACAGAUUUAUAUGGCAUGUAUUUCUAAACACUUUACACUUCACACAUAUUCCGAGAACCGGCUAAACCUGGAUCUGAUACCAAUAAAAUGUAACACCCUUUACCCGAGACCGUUUCCAGAGUCGAGCAUGAGGCGUUACUUGACUUAACUUAAAAGUUCAGGGCAUAAAAAAUUACUUUCAAAAUUAAUUUCACCAUUCACAAUAAAGUUGUCCACCCACGCAGCAAUCUCUAAAUUAAUUAUAACUCAAGAUGCGAAACUCGAAAUUUAGAUCUGUAUAUUUUACCUAAAACUAGACUCAUAUAUCUAUUCACUACAAAAUUUUCAGACUUUUUGGUUUGGCAAAUUAGUACAGUUUAUUAAUUGAAGUCUCCCCUGUUUCACUAAUAGACUAUCCUGACCUCUCGUCACUAAAAUUCAAUUAUCUCAUUAUACAAACUUGACUUGGUGUUUUCAAUUAUUUUUACUUAAAACAGACUCAUUAAGGAAUUUAAACAUAUAAUUUAUAACUCAUAAUUCAUUUUGUACAAUUUUUAAUGAAUUUCUAAAGUCAAAACAGGGGACUUCAAAAUCAUUCUGACUCUGUCUCACUAAAAUUCAAAUAUCUAAAAGUAUAUAACUCUUUUGCUUACUCUAUUGCUUUAAUGUGAAAGUAGGCUCAUUCAGCUUUAAUUUCAUCUCUCACUCAACUUAUAAUUCUAAGUCCACAUUUUUGGUGAUUUUUCAAUGUUACAUCAAUACUGCUGUCCAAAAACUGUUCCAUUGAAAUUUUUUUAAAAAAUUUCAAUAUAACCCUUUUAUAAUUAUCUAACCUUCCCUGCAAAUUUUAAAUCACAACCAAUUUCAGUAUUUCAACCACUUCACUUAAAUACUAAUGAAGUUCAACCAAUCAACCAUUUCAAACUAAAAACAUGCAUAGUUCAAUGUCUAACACAACCAUCACAUUCAAAUUUACUUUGCAUAUUUAGGUAUUCAUUCUUUUACUUUUUACUUCAAUUCCCUAUACAUGCCAUAUAAAUCCAAAAACUUGUUUAACAAAAUCUACCGGAGUAAAUCUUGAUAGUGUGAUUCUUGGUGUAGAUCCGAUCCUCUGAAUGUAUAAAUACGUCAAUCUACAAGAAUCAAUAAACGCACAAGUAGGCUUAAUAAACACACAAGUAAGCUUAUAGAAAGCUUAGUAAGUUCAUAGGCACCAAACAUAAAACUUACCAAACAUUUAUACACUUAUACAUUAUACACCAUUACUAAGUUUACCUGUCAACCACAUUCUUUGGUGAGUUCCUUGGUAUAAACUCACUAAUACUUAUUCUUUUACCAUAAUUCCUUUGGGCCCAUUUGUCACUUACCAUCCUUGAUCAAAAUUAAGGAACGGUUACGGAAAAUUGAGUACUUCACUUUCACUUUGCCAUAGUAUAACUAUGGUCUUACGUAUGAUCACUUAUCACUUGUCCUUGAUCAGGUUAGUGUAGCUAGGCUACCACUUAUCACUUGUUCCUGAUCAGAUAAGUGUAGCUAAGCUAUCACUUGUCACUUUGUCACUUGAUCAGAAGUACUCAAAUCCGGUGUUCCGCUCAAUUUGAUCAUUUAUUCAGUUUGCGCAUUUUUAUUUUAUUCUCAUUUCAUCAAUAAUAUAUAUAUAUAUAUAUAUAUAUAUAUAUAUAUAUUUCACCAUACAUUAUAUAAUUCAUGAAAUUAACAUUUAAUCAUUAAAUUUCAUCCAUAUGAACUUACCUAGGUCGAUUUUCUGAAUUUGUAAAAGUUCAAGGACUAAUCAGCUACUUUUUCUUUUCCUCGACUUGUUUCGGGUUCUCGAUAUGAUUCAAAUAUAUGAAAAACCAGCUUGGAGGGACUCUUCAAUGGCGUUUUUUGCUGAGAAAUAUGAUGAAUUGCCUAGAAACUCUUUUAGUUAAGAUUUUUAUUUGUUAACUUUUACAAAAUUUCUAAUUUUGCCCUUAUUACAUCACUUUUUCAGAUUUUUCUUCUCUUAUGCUGUCUCAACUAUUCCAUAUUAGCAUAUUUAUGCCUUAAGUCCCUCCUUAUUUACCACUUAAGCUGUUUAAUCACUUUUAACAAAUUUUACAUUAUUUUCAGUUUAGUCCUUUUUAAUUAAUUAACCACCCAAACGUUAGAAUUUUCUAACGAAACUUUAAUACCAAUUCAAUGACACUCUAUAAAUGUUUCUAAAAAUAUUUAUGGCUCGAUUGAUGAGUUUGAGGUUUCGAUACCUCAUUUUCGAUUCUAAUUAUUUUAAUAUUUAUUCUUAGUACACUAUUCACUAUUUCAAAAAUUUUCCUAACUUCGCAUUUAACUUAUACUUACUAAAUUAAUAAUAUUUUCUACUCAUUUGUCAAAUUUAAUGAUCUCGAAUUACCAUUCCGACACCACUGAAAAUUCAGGCCAUUACAACUCUCCCCCCAUUUUGGAAAUUUCGUCCCCGAAAUUUCGUACCUGAAAAUAAAUUCGAAUACUGAAAUCUCAUCAAUUCCUCUGUUUCCCAGGUUGCCUCCUCAGAUCCAUGUCGAUUCCAUAACACCUUAACUAGUGGUACAUGUUUAUUCCCUAACUCUUUAACAUCCCAAGCUAAAAUUUUCACCGGUUCCUCUGAAUAAGUCAUGUCAGGUUGAAGCUCUAUUUCCGUAUGAGGAAUUACAUGUGAUGGAUCUGAUUUGUACCGUCUCAACAUAGACACAUGAAACACAUUAUGAAUCUUUGCAAGUUCCGGGGGCAAAGCUAAUCUAUAUGUUACCGGACCGAUUCUUUCAAUGAUUUCAUACGGCCCGAUAAAUCGUGGGCUGAGUUUUCCUUUUUUGCUGAACCGCAAAACUUUCUUCCACGGUGACACUUUCAAAAAUACACGAUCACCCACAUUAUACUCUCUAUCCCUUCUCUUCAAAUCUGCAUAUGAUUUUUGCUGAUCGGAGGCAGCUUUUAAGCAAUCUCGAAUAAUACGAACUUUUUCUUCAGUUUCCUGAGUCAAUUCCACUUCCACCAGUUUCAAUUCACUUAAUUCAGACUAAUAUAAUGAAGUUCUACACUUUCUUCCAUACAAAGCUUCAAACGGUGCCAUUUUAAUGCUAGUUUGAUAACUAUUAUUAUAAGCAAAUUCGGCUAAAGGUAAAUACCUUUCCCAGCUACCGCCGAACUCAAGUAUACAACACCUUAACAUAUCUUCUAAAAUCUGAAUCACUCGCUCUGACUGCCCAUCUGUCUGGGGAUGAAAAGCUGUGUUGAAAUUUAAUUUGGUGCCUAAAGCUUCCUGUAAUUUACUCUAAAAUCUCGAGGUAAAUCUCGGAUCUCGAUCUGAAAUAGUAGAUGUCGGUACCCCAUGUAACCUCACUAUCUCAGACACAUAUAACUCCGCUAACUUUUCAAGCUGAUAAUCUGCUCUGACUGGAAUAAAAUAUGCUGAUUUAGUUAACCGAUCAACAAUCACCCAUAUCGAAUCUUUCUUCUUCGAAGUUACUGGUAAUCCGGAUACAAAAUCCAUCGCAACAUGUUCCUAUUUCCACUCUGGAAUCAUAAUGGGCUGUAACAACCCUGUCGGCACUUGAUGCUCAGCUUUCACCUGUUGACAGAUCAAACAUCUUGCUACAUACUCACAGAUUUCCCAUUUAAUUCCGGGCCACCAAUACAUUUUCUUCAAAUCACAAUACAUUUUUAUACUAACCCGGUGAAUAGAACACAUACUACUGUGAGCCUCUGAUAAAAUAUCAUUUUUCAAGUUUAAAUUAUUCGGAAUACAUAUUCUAUUACGAUAAUAUAACAUACCAUUUUCAUCAAUGGAGUAUUCUGAGCUUAACUUAUCUUGAACCAUCUGUCGUUUUAUCAUCAAUUUUGGGUCAUCAUCCUGUAACUCCUGAAUCCAUUGAAAGAACACGGGUUUAGCCUUUAAUUCUGCUAGUACAGAACCAUCCUCAUUAAUAGAUAAAUGAGCAUUCAAUGCCCGUAGUGCAAAUAAUGAUGAUUUCCGACUAAGUGCAUCUGCUGCGGCAUUUGCUUUCCCUGGGUGAUAGUCAAUGACAAGAUAAUAAUCUUUCUGCAACUCUAACCAUCGUCUCUAUCUCAAAUUUAACUCUUUCUGAGUCAUUAAAUACUUUAAGCUUUUAUGAUCAGUAUACACGUAACAUUUCUCACCAUAUAAGUAGUGUCUCCUUAUCUUCAAAGCAAACACGAUCGCUGCCAAUUCAAAAUCAUGUGUAGGAUAAUUCUUAUCGUGCGGUUUCAGUUGCCGAGAAGCAUAUGCCACCACUUUGCCUGACUGAAUAAGUACACAGCCCAACCCAUUUACAGAUGCAUCACUAUAUACUACAAAUGGUACACCCAAUUCUGGUUGAGUCAACAUUGGAGCCUCUGUCAACAUCUUUUUCAACUGAUCGAAACUCCGCUGACAUUUAUCUGACCAUAUAAAUUCAACAUUCUUUUGUAGCAAUCGAGUCAACUGUAAGGUAAUCAUUGAGAAAUCUUUGAUAAAUCGACAAUAAUAACAUACCAAUCGUAGAAAACUCCACACUUCAAUAACAUUCUUCGGAACUUUCCAAUUUACCAUUGCCGCUACCUUACUUGGAUCCACUCUUAUUCCAUGAGCUGAUACAAUAUGACCCAAAAAUGCAACUUCAUGGAGCCAAAAUUCUCAUUUGCUGAAUUUGGCAUACAAUUGUUUCUCUCGCAAAGUCUGUAAUACAAUCCUUAGAUGUUGUGCAUGUUCGGACUCUGUCUUUGAAUAAAUCAAUAUAUCGUCAAUGAACAACCACAAAUCUAUCCAAUUAUGACUGAAAAAUUCUAUUCAUCAAAUCCAUAAAAGCAGCAAGGGCAUUGGUUAAACCAAAUGGCAUCACCAAAAAUUCAUAAUGACCAUAUCGAGUUUGGAAGGCAGUUUUCGGCACAUCACACUCUUUAACUUUCAACUGAUAAUACCCAGAUUGAAGAUCUAUCUUGGAAAAUAUUGCAGCACCUUUCAACUGAUCAAACAAAUCAUCAAUAUGAGGCAAAGGAUAUUUAUUCUUUACUGUUACCUUAUUCAACUGCCUGUAAUCUAUACACAGUCUUAGAGAACCGUCCUUUUUUUUCACAAACAAGACAGGUGCACCCCAGGGCGACAUACUCGGUCUGAUGAAUCAUUUCUCUAAUAACUCCUGUAACUGCGCCUUCAACUCUUUUAACUCGGCUGGAGCCAUUCUAUACGGUGUCAUUGAGAUAGGAGUUGUUCCGGCGAUCACAUCAAUUACAAAUUCAACUUCUUUAUCAGGUGGUAGACCGGGUAACUCUUCAGGGAACACAUUAGGGAAUUCAUUCACUACUGGCACUUGUUUGAGCUUCAAAUCAGAACCCUGAGUAUCCAUGAUAUAGGCCAAGAAUGCUUCGUUGCCUUUGCGUAAUAACCUCUGAGCAGGGAGAGCUGAAAUAAUUCUGACUGUAUCACCCAUAUUUUCAGACCCAACUGAGAUUAUAUCUCCCGUUUGACAUUUCAAAUUGAUCUGUUUAUCACGACAAUUCACUACCGCAUCAUGUCUCACUAACCAGACCGUCCCAAGAAUAAUGUCAAAUUCUCGAAAAGGUAACAACAUCAAAUCAGCGGGGAAUUCAUAGCCUUUCACUUUUAAUGGACAAUUACGACAUAUCAAAUUAACCAUCACACUUUGACCUAAUGGGUUUGUGACUUGUAUAUCAAAUUCAGUGGACUUAACAGAUAAUUUCUUUUCAGAUGCUAACAUAGUGCAAAUAUAUGAAUGAGUAGAUCCAGGGUCUAUCAAUGCAUAAACAAUAACAUCAUAAAGAUAGAAAGUACCAACAAUUACAUCAGGAGCCGUAGCCUCUUCCCUUGCUCGAAUGGCAUAGGUACGUGCUGGUGCUCUAUUCUUUGAUCGACCAACUGAUUCCCUCGUACCCGAACGGGUAGUCCCUGUAGCACUGCUCUGGCCCGAAUGUCUACUUCUUUGGGGAAUGGUUCUCUGUAUCUCUUUCUGUUCCACUUCAUCUUUUUACAGUCGGGGACAAUCUCGAAUAAGAUGAUUAGUAGCCCCACAUUUUUAACAAGCCCCCAUCUUGGUCCUGCAUUCUCCGAAAUGAUAUCUUCCACAAUAUUGACACUUAGGCCGGGGAGCAUUCUGAACACCGCUCACACUUGCUGCAGGUCUAUCGAAUACCCUGAAAUCAGAUUGUCUUGGUCUAUCUCUACCCGAUCUUCCCAACAUUAAUGUAGUUCGACUAAUUUCUUCUCUAGAUUUCUUCACUGGCAAAUCUAAAAAUGACUUAGAAGCACCUCUUUUGAAUGGCUCUUUACUUUUUCGAUCCCGCUGCAUUUUUCUAUUGUAUACUUCUUCGAGCUUUUGAGCACGGUCUGACAGAACAACGAACUCUCGUAUUUCAUUACCCCCAAUCAUCAUUCUAAUUUCAUCAUUUAACCCUUCUUCAAACCUGAUACACAUUUCUUCUUUAGUAGGUACAAUGUCUCGGGCAUAUUUGCUGAGGUAAACAAAUUCACUUUCGUAUUCAGCCACUGAUUUAUUUCCCUGGCGUAGGUCGAGAAAUUCCCUUUUAUUUUUAUCCAAAUACCGUCUGCCCACAUAUUUCUUCUUAAAUUCAUUUUGGAAAAAUUCCCAAUAAAUUUUCUCUGCUGGAACCACAGCCUCAAUCGUCUCCCACCAACUAUAAGCUUGCUUCUUUCAAUAGGGACACAGCACAUCUCAAAUAAUCAUCUGGUGAGCAAGCCAUUUCUUUAAAAAUUCUUAUUAAACUCUGUAACCAAUAUUCAGCUUUGACGGGAUCUUCAUCAGUCCUUCCUGAAAUUCUUCGGCUCCAAGUUUUUUAAGCUUUUCCAAUAGAGAACGCUUACUAGAUUCAGUCGUUGUAGGAGGUGGAGGAGUAACCGGGGGUACCAUCGAUGGAGCAGUAGGGGGAGGAGGUGGUUCAGCCUGAUUUCUUUCCUGCCUCAUUUCAAUAUACCACUGAUUCAUAAUCUCAUAAAUCAUAUUCUUUAAUUCUUGCUCUUGCAUUUGGGAGAUCGGAACAUCACUGCUUGUUCUUUGUUCAGAAUUAUGUAUUCUACUAUUAACUUCUUCUUACUUAGUUCGUUCAGGUAUAUCUGACAUCUUUAUAACUGGAGAAUAUAUAUGAAAAUAACAAAGAUUAGAUCGGAUCAUACGCAUCACACUAUCACAGAUUUAUAUGGCAUGUAUUUCUAAACACUUUACACUUCACACAUAUUCCGAGAACCGGCUAAACCGGGAUCUGAUACCAAUAAAAUAUAACACCCUUUACCCAAGACCGUUGCCCGAGUCGAGCAUGAGGCGUUACUUGACUUAACUUAAAAGUUCAGGGCAUAAAAAUUUACUUUCAAAAUUAAUUUCACCAUUCACAAUAAAGCUGUCCACCUGCGCAGGAGUCACUAAAUCAAUUAUAACUCAAGCUACGAAACUCAAAAUUUAGAUCCGUAAAUUUUCCCUAAAACUAGACUCAUAUAAAUAUUCACCAUAAAUUUUUAAGAAUUUUUGGUUUAUCCAAUUAGUAUAGUUUAUUAGUUUAAGUCUCCCUUGUUUCACUAAUAGACUACCCUGACCUCUCGUCACUAAAAUUCAAUUAUCUCCUUAUACAGACUUGACAUGGUGCUUCCAAUUAUUUUUACUUAAAAUAUACUCAUUAAGGAAUUUAAAAAUAUAAUUUAUAACUCAUAAUUACUUUUUUACAAUUUUUAUUGAAUUUCUAAAGUCAGAACAGAGGACUUCAAAAUCAUUCUGACCCUGUCUCACUAAAAUUCAAAUAUCUAAAAGUAUAUAACUCUUUUGCUUACUCUAUUGCUUUCAUGUGAAAGUAUACUCAUUCAGAUUUAAUUUCAUAUCUCACUUAACUUAUAAUUCUAUUUCCACUAUUUUUGGUGAUUUUUCACAGUUACAUCAAUGCUGCUGUCCAAAAACUGGUCCAUUGAAAUUUUUUAAAAAAAUUCAAUAUAACCCCUUUAUAAUUAUCUAACCUUCCCUGCAAAUUUCAAAUCACAACCAAUUUCAGUAUUUCACCUACUUCACUUAAAUACUAAUGAAGUUCAACCAAUCAACCAUUUCAAACUAAAAACAUGUAUAGUUCAAUGUCUAACACAACCAUCACAUUCAAAUUUACUUUGCAUACUUAGUCAUUCAUUCUAUUACUUUUUACUUCAAUUCCCUAUACAUGCCAUAUAAAUCCAAAAAGUUGUUUAACAAAAUCUACCAGAGUAAAUCUAGAUAGUGUGAUUCUUGGUGUAGAUCCGAUCCUCUGAAUGUAUAAAUACGUCAAUCUACAAGAAUCAAUAAACACACAAUUAAGCUUAUAGAAAGCUUAGUAAGUUCAUAAGCACCAAACAUAAAUCUUACCAAACAUUUAUACACUUAUACAUUAUACACCAUUACUAAGUUUACCUGUCAACCACAAUCUUUGGUGAGUUCCUUGUUAUAAACUCACUACUACUUAUUCUUUUACCAUAAUUCCUUUGGGCCCAUUUGUCACUUACCAUCCUUGAUCAAAAUUAAGGAACGGUUACGGAAAAUUGAGUACUUCACUUUCACUUUGCCAUAGUAUAACUAUGGUCUUACGUAUGAUCACUUAUCACUUGUCCUUGAUAAGAUAAGUGUAGCUAGGCUACCACUUAUCACUUUGUCACUUGAUCAGAUAAGUGUAGCUAAAGCUACCACUUAUCACUUUAUCACCACUUAUCACUUGUUCCUGAUCAGAUAAGUGUAGCUAAAACUACCACUUAUCACUUUGUCACCACUUAUCACUUGUUCCUGAUCAGAUAAGUGUAGCUAAAGCUACCACUUAUCACUUUGUCACUUGAUCAGAUAAGUGUAGCUAAGCUAUCACUUAUCACUUUGUCACUUGAUCAGAAGUACUCUAAUCCGGUGUUCCGCUCAAUUUGAUCAUUUAUUCAGUUUUCACAUUUUUAUUUUAUUCUCAUUUCAUCAAUAAAUAUAUAUAUUUCAUCAUACAUUAUAUAAUUCAUGAAAUUAACAUUUAAUCAUUAAAUUUCAGCCAUAUGAACUUACCUGGGUCGAUUUAUUGAAUUUGUAAAAGUUCAGGGACUAAUCAGCUACUUUUUCUUUUCCUCGACUUGUUUCGGGUUCUCAAUAUGAUUCAAAUAUAUGAAAAACCAGCUUGGAUGGACUCUUCAAUGGCGUUUUUUGCUGAGAAAUAUGAUGAAUUGCCUAGAAACUCUUUUAGUUAAGAUUUUUAUUUGUUAACUUUUACAAAAUUUCCAAUUUUGCCCUUAUUACAUCACUUUUUCAGAUUUUUCUUCUCUUAUGCCGUCUCAACUAUUCCAUAUUAGCAUAUUUAUGCCUUAAGUCCCUCCUUAUUUGCCACUUAAGCUGUUUAAUCACUUUUAACAAAUUUUACAUUAUUUUCAGUUUAGUCCUUUUUAAUUAAUUAACCACCCAAACGUUAGAAUUUUCUAACGAAACUUUAAUAUCAAUUCAAUGGCACUCUAUAAAUGUUUCUAAAAAUAUUUAUGGCUUGAUUGAUGAGUUUGAGGUUUCGAUACCUCAUUUUUUAUUCUAAUUAUUUUAAUAUUUAUUCUUAGUACACUAUUCACUAUUUCAAAAAUUUUCCUAACUUCGCAUUUAACUUAUACUCACUAAAUUAAUAAUAUUUUCUACUCAUUUGUCAGAUUUAGUGAUCUAGAAUUACCAUUCCGACACCACUGAAAAUUCAGGCCAUUACAUUAUGUUUAUUGACUCAUUUUUUCUGUUGACUGAAUUUCAGGUAACUCAUCGACUUAGGCGGGUCGGCAUGGCGAGAGCUCGGUCAUCCUUAUUUAGUAAUUUUCUGUUUAAAUUAAACUUAUGCUAUAGUUGUUUUAUCUUGAAUUACAGAUUUCAAAUUUAUAUUUCUACACUAGUUCAACUAUUUAAACAUUUUCUGACAAUUAAACUUUAAUUAGUUAAAAGUGAGAAUUUCUUAAAUGAUUUGUUGUAGCUUUCCAAGCUUGGUCCUAACAUCUAGGUCGGGUUUGGGGUGUUACAACCCAAAACCCCCAAACUUUCCCCUCAAAACUUUUACUCCCCCACCCUUUCUCUUUCUCGCUCACCCUCCCAAACCCUUCUACUUUUCCCCCAAAACUUUUACUUCCCACUUUUACCCCCAAAUCAAAAAUCAAAAUCCUCCCAAAAAAAUCCUUAAACCUAAAUAGUAAUAAUUUUAUUUAUGGCUACUAUUUAUAUUAUAAAUUAAAUUUCACAUUUUCUAUUAUUUAUAUUAUUAAAUUGUUUAAUCAUUUUGAAUCUUUAUCAAUUUCUGUUAAAACUGUAUCAUUGAUGAUGUCAUACAUUAUUUGUGUUAAAAAUUUCUAUUGGUAUCAAUUUCACAUUUUAUCUUUAAAAUAAAUUUUAUUAAAAAAAUUACUUUUUUACAUUUAAUAUAUUUUUUAAUUUCAAAAUAUAUGGUGACAAGAAUUAGAAGAUAAUUGAAGCAACUAAGCAAGUAAAAAAGCUAACAUGUAUAUAAAAGAUUAAAUAAAUUAUGAAGGGAUGAAAGUUAAUAACACAUUUGAUUACGGUGGACAAAUUUGAUAAUGAUGGGUGACAGUGGCUACAAGGAUCCAAAGUAAUUUUUUCAAUUAACUGGAAACAAAUAUAUUCGAUUCGAUUCGAUAAAAUUUGAAAUCAUUUUAGGAUGAUAAAAUAAGACUCGUCAACUCGAUUAACUCGAAGUUUUUUCAUUUGAUUCGAUUAGACGCUCACCCCUACAAAGUAUGACCGAUUGGUCUGAUUCUGAAAAAAAUUGGUUUUGAUCAAUGAAAGAACUUUUACGAUGGCGACAGGUCUAACAAACAGGUGAUAUUUUGAAAAGAAAAUUAAUCUCCAUAGUCUCAACCUUAGGAGGGUGAAUUUUGAGCAUUGCAUUUGUUGUCAUUGUUAGACAUUAUAAAGGAAGAAAAAAGAAAGAAAAAAGUUAAAAUGAGGGAAAUUAUUGAAAAAAAGAGAGAAGAGAAUAAUUAAUUUUUUUAAAAUUUUACAUGUCAAUCUAUUAUUGAUUAGAUUUUUUUAAUGAGUGUAACAUUUUGGUGUUAAAUGGAUAAUAAAAAAAUAUUUUAAGUAUCAUUUAUGAUAAAAAAUAUUUAGGUAUCAAUUUGAAAAAAAUAUGUAGCUUAGAUACUAAUUGAUGGGUUAAUUUUUUUAGCUUAAUAAUUUGAUUAAACCGAAAUACCAACUGAAAAAAAGUUUACUCGCCGCUUAUGAAAAAAAAUAAGUAUGAAUUUGUAAGUUAAAUCUCCCUAAAAGAAAAAAUAUAUCACAUUCAAUACGGGGUGAAUGAAGCAAUGAAUGCAAUGGGGUAUUACAACCAGCCACAUGUCAUUCAAUUCAUGUUAUAUCUACCUUGUUGGCCCCACAGGCGGUCUUUUCCAUUAUUUUCGAAGUGAACGACAUGAGUCGGACCUAUAUCGGCCCCAACAAACAACCUCAACCACUUGUUUUGUUAGGUUGUUGACUAAUUUGAAUAUGUCGGCUCAAAGCUUUUUGAAAAUUAAAUUAUUUUUUAUAUUAAUAUCAUAUAGGUAUAAAAAUUUAACGUUUUGUAAAAAAAAUAAAUUUAGUGUUAAAUUUAAAUAAUUAUAAAAAAUUAUACAAAAUACAAAGACAACUUAGAGUCAAUAAAAAAAAUAUGGAAAAUCAAUUCAUACAUUAAAUGGCAUAAAAAUAUUAUGAACACUAUACAAAUAUAUGAAUGUUUUUAUAUCUAUUUAAAAUAAGUUAUUAACGCUUAAACUUCAACCAAUUAAAUAUUAAUUUAACUAUAAACUAUAAAAAAUUAAAAUUUCAUUUGCCCUAAACAAUUAUUCUAAUUUCGCCCCUGUAUAAAAUAGUUCUAAUAUUAAAAAAAAAGUUAUACGAAUAUGGAGUGUUAAAAAAAAAGGCUUUCAACUUUUAAUAUUCCAAACAAAUAAAAGAAAUAAUAAUAACAGUUUACAAGUGCAAUAAAAGUAAUACAUAUUUGAUGAAUUAAAAAUAGAAUAAAUAUAACUAACUAUAACAGAAAUAUAUUUAGAUUUAAACCAAAUUUUUUUGAAGAUGAAAUUUGAACUCACAAAUAAUAUUUAUAAAUGAUGAGCCUAAUGAUGAUAUGUUUUAGAACAUGUAUAUUUUAAUUUCAUUUGAUAUUUAAAUUAAUGAAUGAAAUGAGUAUAUUAGCAUAAAUAUAUUGAAUUUCUAGAUUUAUUAAAAAUCCAACUAAAUAGAGUAGAUCCAUAAAUUUAAAAAAUGAUUAUGGAUUUUGAAAUAUAAAUCUAAAAUUUAAAAUCUGAAACCCUCCUAAAUGUUUUCCAAAGUAAGGCGGGGAUAAAUGGUAUAGGGAAGACGGUGGGUAGAUAGAUGUACGGUUUAUUUAUAACUUCGUUUUUAUUAGUCGGCUUACAGUUUCAUAAAAAGCAUCCGUGCAAGGCAUGUUCAAAUGCUGCACUAGCAUACCACUACUAUAAAAAAAACACAUACAAGAGCACCACAAAUUUAUCCCAAAAUACAUUAAAUAAAUGACUCCUAAGGGUGCCAGAUUUAACUAGUGUGUCUGGGAUUGUAUUAGCCUCUCUGAGGCCAUGUGAAAAAAUUUAAUGUUAUUGUUAUAUUUCCAUCUCGAUACGUUGCAAGACAUGAAGCAAUCUGUAAACAACUCUCUUUUGGAAGCAGUUUGCAUACGACUCUUCGCUAAGAACCAUUUGUUGUGAUCUUUCGCUUAGGAUUGCUCACAAAUGACCCCCAUGCACCCUAUCUCUCUCCCUCCUUAACUCAUCAUCUUGAACUCUCAUCCUAUCAUAGGUGAAUCGAGACUCUUCUCCUCCACCCUUUCCUCGUUGGUUACUUGUAGCAAAAAAAAUUAAUUUCACCGAAAAUGUUGGAGAGAUCCCAUGGUCUAAGUGUGUUGUUAGAGCAAAGCUCGAUGGCAAAUUUGGAGUCAAAUUUUAGAAUAAACCCUUUAAAAUCCAUUACACCGUAAAGGAAAAUUUUUACAAUUACAUUAACAAUAAAUAUUCAAAAUUUACUCAUCUAUCUAUACUUAUAUUAAGCCUUAUUUGAGUUGGAGUCAAGAGUCAACUAGGUACUAACUCAGUUGAGAAUUUACUAAAUAAUUUUAAUAUAAAGUAAAAAAAAUAUUAAUACGAGGGUGUUUUUAUCUUUUCAUAUUUUUAAAUAAAAAAAUACUAUAAUAAGAUUUAAACUUAAGUUUAAAAUUUCAAUCAAAACAUCACUUAAAUUUAAAAUAACAUUUUUAUAUAAAAUGUGUUUAGAUUCUAAGAUAAUGAAAUUUAUGAUGAGGUAUUCAAAAUGUGUUUGAAUAUGCUAAUGAGAUAUUCAAAUUGGUAUGCACAUUCCUAAUCAGGGAGCAUUAAUGAUAAUUUAGUAAAAUAAAUUAUCUCAUUAGCAUAUAGUUUAUUAUAAAAUUAUUGUGUAAAAUAAACAAUUCACAAACUUAAGAAUUUAUAACACAAAAAUUAUACAUCAAUGUUGUUAGAAUUGUAUUAUAUCCAUCGGUUGAAUUUAAAUUUAAAAAUUUAAUCAGCGAUAAUAAUUAAAAUCGUUUCAAACUAGUAAAAUAUUGAAAAUUAAGAACUAAUAAAAUAGAUUCUAAUUAUUUUUAUUUAAAAAAUGUUACCUUCUUAUUCAGGUUACAUUAAGACAAACCCAUCUUAAUUGUAAGUAUCAUAUUGUGAAUGGUAAACUUCUUACACAACAUCCACCAUUUGUCCAAAUAUGUUAAAUUAGGUGCAACAUAGAAAUUUUAUUGUAAGGAGUGAAUCUCAUUGUUUUUAUUUUCAUCAAACAUACGUCUAACUUUAUUAUUACGGGAUUAGAACUUAAAUUUGAUAAAUUGUGGUGAUUUCUUUUCGUUAAAUUUACCUAAAUCAACCUAACACUCGAAAAGUGAGAAUUCUCCUAAAAAUUCUUUAUGUUAGCAAAAAAUAUAGUGGAAGUAACUUGAAACGAAAGAGCAAUGAGAGAAUUGAAAAGACACAAGAAAAUAAUGCAUACAAGGUGUUUGAGUAAAUGCUCUCAAUAAAUUCUUUAACUCAAGAAGGAAUGAAGUACAACCAGUAUCUAGCCCCCCUAAAAUAGAAAAUUUUCCAUUUAUAUACCUUUAUAAUUUAUAAAAUUUAAAAUUUUACUUUCCCAUAAAAUGAUAAAAAAUUGAUUUAUUUCUUUAAAAAUUAUAAAGAUGACUAUUAAAAUAGUAAAAUUGUAUUUUUAUUAUUGUAAAAAUAUACAAUUUAAUUCUGUCUCCCAAAUUUUUUUUUUGGUUUCAUCCCUAAGUACAAUGAUCAUUGUAGCAGGAUACACAGGCAUUGUAGCAGGAUACAUAGGCAUUCUAGCACAGAAUGCAAAUAUGUUGCAAAUUAACUUCGAGUCAUGGCAUAAAGUGCCCGAGAGUAACAAGAACCAAGCUCUCGAUAACAUUAAGGUAACAAAAUGUGUAUAUCAUUUAUAAUACUUGAGUUUAAGUUUCGUUUACAUUUACUUUCUGAAGUUGUGUUUUUUGUAGGGGAGAUUUGCUCUAGAGGUCUCCGAUGCUUAUGUAAAGAAGGCAUUGGGAAAAAGAUGGAGAGACCAUAAGAGCACUUUAAAGAAAGACUAUUUUAAGACAAAAACAACACUCGACGAGAGAUUACAAAAUGUCACGCCGGGAAUGCUGAGGUACCAGUGGGAAGAAGUCGUUAGAUUUUGGACUUCGAAGAAAGGAGAGGUAUGUGUUACUACAAAAAUCUUGUAAUUAUUUUGGUUUAUAGUAUUUACUAAUUAACGUACUAAUAAUUUCAUAACGUAGGAUCGUGAACGAGUUGGAACAAGUAGUAGGCAGAAACAAAAAUUCACGCACACAGCUGGGUCGAGAAGUUUUGCGUGUGUAGCUCAGGCCGAGGUAUUUUGAAUUUUUUAAUACUGGCAGAUAUUUAUUACUUUCUAUCAAAUAAUAUUUUUACUAUUGUAUUGUAGGAAGUGUUGUCGGGUCAAAAAGUUGGACGCCUUCAACUUUUUGACAUUACACAUAGGAAGAAAGAUGGAAACCCUAUGACUCCUGAAGCUGCAGAAAUUAUGGUACGUUUGCUUAAUACAAUUUGACUUGUUUUAAUUAUUUAUACUGUUUAUUUUCUAAUGGUUUUUAUUACAUUUCUUAUAAUGCAAAUAUUGUUAAGUUAUGUUGCAUUUGUUUUGUUAAUAUAUGUUGCGUUCUUAACUAUGUGAUUUAUUUUUUAGGAAAAACUGAAGGAUAAAAAGGCGAAGUACGAAGCGAUUGCUUCCAGUGAUAGUUCUGUUCAUAUUUACGACAUUGAUAAUCGGAUUAUCAUUGAAGUUUUGGGUCCUGAAAGGUAUGAUCGGGUUCGAUUUCAAGGAUCUUUUGUUAACCCAUCCCAAUAUUUUGGAUCCAGCUCGCAACAAUACAUGCAUUCGGGGAGUCAGGCUCAAGCUGAAGUUAGAGGUUAAGAGACCAGAUAGCUUAGAUGCAAGCGGCAACGAGUGAGCAAAUUACACAACUUAAAGCGGAGGCAACAUCGAGAGAAGCCAAGGUUCAAAAAAGAUAUGAAGAACUCCAGCUACAACUUAAAGCAGAUGCGGCAGCGAGAGAAGCAGAGGCAGCAGCGAGAGAAGCUGAGGUUCAACGAAAGUAUGAGCAACUGCAGUAGCAGCUUAAAGAAGAUGCGGCAACGAGAGAAGCAGCGGCUGCAGCGAGGGAAGUAGAGGCUGCAGCGAGGGAAUCAGAACAGCAUAAAAAGUUCGAUGAACUCCAGCAGCAGCUUCAGAAUAUGAUGAAGAUGUUUCAGCAGUCGCAACCGCCGUCAUCUUAGACUAUCGUUUAAAUAUACUUCAAUUUUGACUUUGGUAUUAUUAUUUUAACUUUUACAAUUUCUGUCAGAAUAAUACGAAUUUUAUUUUAUUUAUUGACAUUUAUUUUAAAUAUUAUAUAGAUUUGGUUAGAUUUGGUUGGUUGGAUUUGGUUUCUUCUGAUUUGUUUUUAUAGGAGGGGGGCUGAAAAUUUUUUUUUCAAAUCUGCCAAAAUUAGCGGCGUUUUUUUGGAUAAGCGCCGCUAAAGACCAUCGUCUAUAGUGGCGUUUUUUGGCUAAGCGCCGCUAAAGACCAUGGUCUAUAGUGGCGUUUUUCGGCUAAGCACCGCUAAAGACCAUGGUCUAUAGUGGCGUUUUUUGUCUAAGCGCCGCUAAAGACCAUGGUGUAUAGUGGCAUUUUAUGGCUAAGCGCCGCUAAAGACCAUGGUGUAUAGUGGCGUUUUUUGGCUAAGCGCCGCUAAAGACCAUGGUCUAUAGUGGCGUUUUUUGUCUAAGCCCCGCUGAAAACCAUGGUCUAUAGUGGCGUUUUUUGGCUAAGCGUCGCUAAAGACCAUGGUCUAUAGUGGCGUUUUGUGGCUAAGCGCCGCUAAAGACCAUGAUCUAUAGUGGCAUUUUUCGGCUAAGCGCCGCUAAAGACCAUGGUCUAUAGUGGCGUUUUUUAGGCUAAGCGCUGCUAAAGACCAUGGUCUAUAGCGGCGUUGCAAAGAAAACGCCGCGAAAGGUCUUGAUCUUUAGCGGCGUUUAUUAUAAAAAGCGCCGCUAAAGUUACCGACACUGUCAUUAGCGGCGAUCUUUGCGGCGCUUCGUAAAGCGCCGCUAAAAGUAUUUGCGGCGCUAAAAAACGCCGCUAUAGACCUAAAAAAGCGCCGCUAAAACCCUGUUUUGGUGUAGUGUGAGAUGAUUACAAAUGAAGGGGGAGAUCUCUAUUUAUAGUUGAGCUCCCCUAGAUCCAAUAGUAUAGAUUGAAUUACAUCAACGAUUGAGAUUAGUACUUAUCUACAAGAUGAGUCUUAAGGGUUUUAAACUCUAUACAUCUUUAUCCCUUAGGAUUUACAUUAAUUACUCUGGUAACUCUAGUUUUACUGGAGAGUUUCACUGAACCACCAAAGGUUUAAGUAGAUGAGCUUCUCCAUAUGUUCCACGAGUUGGACAAGUUCAAGCGGAUCAAAUGAGCCCAAUUUAAUUAGUUAAUCUCAAUAAAACGUUCUAUGCGCAAUGAUCAUGAACUUUGAUCUACAUCUCAAAAUGAUCAGAUGAAUAAUCUCUCUUAAUUAUAUUUUUAUAAAACUUGAUAUUUUCAUUUAAAAAGAAACACAAUCACAUAUAAUAAUGUCUCCAAAAGAGUCGUCCACUUCAAAGAUUUAAAGUAAUGUAAGAAUGAACCCAACAUUUUUCAAUUAAAAAUAUGUCGAUAGAUAUAGCAAGUUGUAUAACCUUUCAAUUACAAAACAGAUUUCAAUGGGGAUUGCAUCCGGUACAUGCAACUAAAGAACAGAACCGGUGCAUAAAUUGAUUUAAUUAAACUUUGGGUUGAGUAAUCAUGAUUUUCAUUAUUAUUAGACUACGUGAAUGUUGAUAUAAAAUGCUUGAGAGAAGGGUAUAGAAGAAACACAAAAUAAUGAGUGAUAUUAAUUUGUAGAUAAAGAUAAUAUUACAUAGUCGCAAAAAGCGACCUAGUACACAACGCACAACUCUAAAUUAGGAUAACUCCUCUGCUAUCCCUAUGGAUGGAUUUUAACAUCCAUAUUUAUUCUGUAGCUAUCGUUAUUUUGGCUUCCACUAGCUGGUGAACUUUCCAUGCCAAAACUUCACUUAACCCUGCAAAUGAAACAACAAAAAACACAACAUUAAAUGUUGAGCAAUUAAUAAGCAUAAGCAAUGAAACAACUCAUACGAACCUGCUGCAGUCAGUGCUAGGGCUGAUCUUGUAAGGGAUGUUGACACCGCACUUGCCUGGGAGUCCGCUUGCAAUACCAUAGUUGAUGCCAGGAAUGCCGGCGGCCGCACUUUUGAUGCAUUUGCAAGCUGCUUGCCGGUCUGGUGUUGUUUGGGCGGCGGAGUUGAGAGAUUUGAUGCCGCUGCAGCAACCUUGGGGAACGGCACCAGCACCAUUCCCUCUCAAGUAAUUAAUGCAGGGUGCGAGGGAGCCUGUGACUUGACCACAGGUUACGGUCCCUUGAGCCAGGGGUGCACCCACCACCAUGCACAACACCACCACACAUGCAAGCUUAAGGGACAUUGAGCUAGCCAUAUCGAUUAAUUACAAGAAAAACAAACUUGUAAGGAAAAUGCUUGCUUGGAGUAGUAGUAGUAUUGCUGAUUGUUGCGUGGUUAGGGCCCGAGGGUAGGAGGGUUUUUAUAGCCAAAAGUUUUGUGAAGGGAUAUGGAACGAACUGAGAAACACGUACGAAUAGAAUAUGGUUAGGCGUUGGUAGUUGUCCCAAUUCAAUGCCAAGGUUUCUUUUUUUCUUUUUCAUGUUUCAGCUUAUGGUUGAGUGUGUUUAAUGCUUUGAAAAAGGUUUGUAUCUACCACUUUCAUCUUCAUCACUAAUGCUGAAUUACUCCGUUGAUUAAUGCAUCAUAUUAGCCUUGUCCUAGUGUUACCGGUUUUCUGAUAUUAGUAGCUUUACCAAUAAAAGAUGCUAUCAAAUAUAGUUUUCAGGAUGAUAUUAAAAAUUAAGGUUUUUUAGUUACAAAUAAAAUUGUCACAUUAUCAAAUUUUAAAGAUAUGAAAUUAUUAUUAUAAACUCAUCUAUAGAGAAAUUAUUUUAUGAGCCCUUUCCACCACAUUAUUCACAGUCCAUUUUCAAUUAUUUAAUAAUAUUUCAACAAUAUUUUCCAUGUCAUUGACACAUAAUUUUAAUAAUUUUUUUACCCUGAACCUUGAGUCUAGAAUCCCAAACCCUAAAUAAAAAACUUAAAACCCCAAACUAUAACCCCAAACACUUGCAUCAUAAACUCGAACCGCGAACCUCAAACUCAUAAUCUGUAACCUUGAACCCAAACUUGUAAUCUCGAACCCUUGAACCCUGAACCUAAACCUUGAACCCUGAACUCAAAGCCCAAAACCAAAACUGAACCCUGAACCUUAAAUCUCAAACCCAAACCUUAAACCUCGAGGUUUGGGUUCAAGGUUCAAGGUUCAGGGUUUGAGUUCAAGGUUCGAGGUUUAGGAUAAAAUAAUUACCAAAAUUUGUAACAGAAUAAAAGAGUUCGUUUAUAAUUUAAAAAGCAAUUAUUUUAAGUAAUUUAAUUAAAGUGAAAUUAAGUUGGAGAAAAUAUUAGAUAUAGAUGAGUGUAUAAUAAUACUUUAUUGUCUUUAAAAUUUAAUGACGUGGUACUAUUUUAUUGGUGCCUCAAACUAUACUUUUUAGAAUAAUCCUAAUACAAUUUAUUCCCAUAUUAAAUACGUAUGCUUUCUAUAUUUUUUCGAAAAAAUAAAUUUUAUUCAUAAACUUUCUAUAUAUAAAUAUAUGUUUUAUUUAAAAUUUAUAAAUACAGAAAAAUUAAAAUAUAAAUAUAUGUCAAAGUAGCUAUUAAGUGUAGAAUUAAACAAUUAUAACAUAUAAAUAGAUUAAAAAUUAGGACAAAAAAUCAAUCUAUUACAUAAAAUAUAAAUUAUGAAUGAAAACAAUCUAAAUUAUAGUCUGGCUAAUCAAACUAAAACUUACAUAUAACCAUAUGACUUUAAGGGUCUUGAAUAUGGUUACUUAAAAGCUUAUAGUUCAGCUUUUACCCACUACGUCAAGGCUUCAUUUACGUUUUUUUUAACCAUAUAUUUUUCAUAUAAUUAUAUAUAUAUAUUUUGCAUAAAAAAUCCCCAAGACGUUAAUUACUUCUAUAUAAUGUAGCGAUUAAGUCCUCAAACAAAAAUUGCUCAACAUCAAUGCAUGUAUAGAUCAAUUUUAUAUAUCAAAGACCAAUACUAUCUUUUUCUUAAAAAAAAAAAAAACCAAUAUGUUGUGAUUGCUUAGCUAUUGUUCCUAAGUCUUCCUGAAAAAGGUUUCACAGUCUUCCUGAAAAAGGUUUCACAGCGAGAGGAGAAAAAAAAAAGUUGAACUUGUCUUGGUUUGCCCCAUAAUGAUUGAAGCAUAGACAAGAUUAUAAAUGUUAAUUUAGUAUACGACAUAAUAAUAUAAUAUAAUAUAUUUAAAUGUAUAUCUCCUCACCUCCUAGACGCUGUCAGUUAUUUUAUUUUUUGGGAUUUUUUUAACAAAAGGUUGAGCUUUUUAUUAGGUUUUAUUUGAUUUUUCAUUUAUUAAAUAUAAUUUUUUUAUUUUUAUAUUUUUUAGUUAUUAUUAAUUUUUGUUGAAAAUUUGUACGGUCUUGUUCUAACAACAAUUAGAACAAGCUUUUUGGAACAAUCAAAAGUUUUGGGUGUAGGCAUGUUUGACUUUUAAUGGCUUAUGUUUUAAUAUUAGUUAACAAAAAGUGAUAAGAGAAUUUCAUGAUAAAUUAGAAUAUGGUUAUCAUCCAUUUGAUUAGUCUUGAUGAGGAAGGAGAGGAGUUUGAACUUUGGUGGACACCCAUCCUUAUCCUUGUCUUUUAGAGUGUUUGAAGCUAUUGGAGAACUUGGUUUUAAAGAUUUUAUUUGAUAAAUAUUCAAAAUAAUUAAUUUGAUAAUUUCAACUUUUAAAGGAGAGUUUAAAACUUAUCAAAACAUUAUUUGAUAAACACUUGUAGAGGCGUAUAAAUAGGCAACAGUGUGGUGUAACUUUGUUUGUUGUUUUGGAGUGUCUUAAACUUUUAUUUUUUUGCUAUUCCAUUGGGUAACUUUAUGACACUCUCUUUUUAGGUAUUAUUUGGAGAUGUUUAGUAAUUGUAUUGUGAGGAAUUUGAGUGAGUGAUUGCAUUGAAGAAAUGCGACCUAAAUGUAUAUGUUAAACUCUUAUCUAGGACAUAAAUUCCAUGAACAAGGUACCCAUGUUAAUAACAUGUCACCACUUCGCAUCUUUAUGGUAUUGACCCUAUGUAGUUAGACCCUAUAUGACGUAAACAACACUUAUAGUGUGCACGAUAUCGUAGGCUUGAACGUUGAUUGAAUGCAACCUAUAUUUUGGUGCCUUUGUCGGAAAUGAUGUAUGCAUCGGGUUGCGGUACAAAUGCCUUCUCAGGUUAGUUAAGAAGAAAUCCCAUUCAUCAUUGGAUUCUUCAGGAGUUAUUACAAAAGCUAUUGGCAGGAUUUUUAGGUUACCAUCUUAUGCAACAACUACUAACAACCGAUGGUCGCAUAUUCUAUACAGGAAUGUGCCGUUAAUUUGGAAAAGUGGCUUACAGUACCAAAAUGUAGUUCUGCAUUGCUUAAAAGUCCAAAAGCAACGGUGGAAAACUCCUUUUCCAGGGACCAAGCAAUCGUCAUAAUACGCAGGCUCCAUUUUUAACUUGGUUACAGAACCUAGUAUGUACCACUCUAGUAUCUAACACCAUUGCCACAAUUUAUAGUAGGAUUUCUCCCACCCUCUAUUCAUUUUCUCCAAUGCCUUCUAUUUUUGCAACUAUGUCUUGUGCUAGGACAUGGUGUAAUCGGAUUCUCUACAGAUGUGUGCGAUCAAAAUUGGGACCAGAAUCCUAGGACUUGCUUUUGCCAUGGGUAAUAGAAUUUUAGAUAUCAUGUCUAAAUCUAAUUUUGGAUGAUCAUUCGAUAUGCUUGAAAAACAAGAAAUCGAGUCACUAUGUGUAAUAGAAUGUAAAAAAAGGCUAGGAUUCGAGUCGAUGUUGUUAGCCAUAUUACAUACCAGCUACAACACAUGUAUGUGGCACGAUAAAUUUCCUACGUUUAAAAUGCCAACUUCUUCGUCAUAAAUGCCAUGAUUUUCCAUAGACAUCUUGUUGCACGCAUUGUGCGCAUCGCCUUAUAUUUCUCGGAUUGAGAGCAUGUAAUAGUGAAGUUGACACCAAAUUGUAUGCUAUACUACUUGAUUGUAGCUACAAAAGCAUAUUUGGAGUCAAACUCCAUCCCAACCUCUAAGUGGUCGAAAUUUGUUGAUGAAGUCGCAUACCUUAGUCUUCUACGGGGGAGGUCUGGGAAUUCUAAAACCACUUUCACUAGUAAGACUGAGAGUACGCAUAUGGGGUGGGGGUUUGUAUUUCGUGAAACUUAGGUCAUCCCCUCGAGCGAUGUCUAAAGCUUGACCAUUAGAUCCAUCGUCUUCUAGUUCAGUAGGAAUGGGAUCUAGUUCUAAAAUUACUACAAUUUCGCACCAUCCAGUCCAACCACCUCUCCUGGGUCAUUAUCUGAUUUAGACCCCUCUUUGACCACUUUGUUCUCUUGUCCCUCUUUGUUAUCAACCCUGGUUGUAAGUCCAGGGUUGGAUGUACCCUCUCCGGUCGAAGUUGUCAAGAGUAGAUCAUUCAUUCUUGUAAAUCCGAUGUCAAUCCCAAAACCAAUUCUGUUUGGCCUACCCAGUAACUUGAUGGUGUACCAUAUGAGUGUUAUCGAGGUUGAACAUAGGUGUGUCAAAGUUGAAACCAAAGGCACUGAUAGAAUGUUGUGCGGCUGUGUUGUAGGCCUGGUGACCGAAUACGUCUAACUAUCCCCCGAAGUUGAAAUCGAGGGAUGAAAUCGAUGAAUGCCUCACCAUUGAUGAUGUUAAUAAUGUGUCUUUGUAUAAGCUUUGUAGCAAUGAUCUGAAUCCACAACAAAACCGUGUGGCCAGACUUUUUGCUUCUUGAUUUGGCUAGAAAUUUGGCGGACACGGUAUAAUCGAGCUUGGGCCACCUUUUUCCUCUUCAGCAAAGACUGUAUAUUCUCACAAGAGUAAUGAGUUUCGAUCACUGUCUUCAAACCGUUGUCCCCUGUGAUCUGAAAAAUGGAAUAUCUAACGGGGUUAAAUGAUGUUAGAUAUCUACAUUUCAGGCUCAAAAUUCUUCUUCAGAUCCCUACUUUAUGCCUAAACCUUGUUCAAAGCUCUUUUAACGUUAUGCUCUAGUUGAAUGUCAGAUCUUUAGAUUGGGUUGAUACAAAAAUGGGCUCAAUUUCAGCCUCACAAUUUUGACCGUUGUAAUGGACAAUAGCUCUGGCUCGUCUCCUCAUCUUGAACCAAAUAUUCUAUUCCACAUGUUUAAAAUCGAGAAAAUUGUAAAAAUAUAGUUCUCAUCACCCAAAUCCCUAAAUUUACACUUACUUUAAUGAAAUACCUUUGCUUCGACAAUAUUGUCAGUAUAAAAUUUUUGUUUUUUACUACAACAUCGAUAACUCCUAAUGCCAACAAUCUGCUUCAAACAUCUGUAUGGAAAAUCCAAGAAUUAUAUUGAGUUUUUUUUAUAGAGCCUUUUCCUCGACGCACAUGAAACGAUUCUAGCAACAACACAUGUCAAGGCAUUAGUUGUUUUUGAGGUAUACACUAAAAAUUAAAAUUUGUGGGGGAGAAAACGUUCCCCGCAACGAUGUUUUUCAGCACCUAGACAUAGCAUUGAAAUUUAUCCUAGGAAUCCCGGGUUGUAGGGGCUUAGAGGUAGAAGCAAUCAAGUUGGCUUGGGUAUUGAAAGACCAUAAAGAAAAUGCCUCUUGCAGGAAGCAUUUCCACCUGACUUGGCAAUCAAAAUGCCUCCUGCAGGACGCGUUUUCCAGCCACAUCUCUGACAUGUUAGUUGAAAACGCAUCUUGCAAGAGGCGUUUGUACUGCCAUGUUAGGUAAAAACACUUCCUGCAGGGAACAUUUUCUUUAUGGCCAUUUCAACACCCAGGCCAACUUAAUUGCUUCUGCCUCUGAGCCCUUACAACACGGGAUUCUCGGGAUAAAAAAAUUUCCCUUUUUACCCCACCCCAUCCCUUAUAUAAAUGUAUGUUCUCAUCCCCUACUCACCCAUAUCUCAGUCUCCUUUAAAUUAUUUUUUUCUUUUUCUUCCGUGUUGAAAUUUUCAAGUUUAAAGAUUUAUUUCUCUCACACUUUGAGGGGGAUGUAAUCAUAGUUUUAAGUUGUGUUUGAGUUCACAAUAAUGUCGUGGCGCUUGAUAACUUACAAAUUUCACUUGUCGUGUGAGUAUGGAGCCAUCACUUGAGAAAUCGAGAUCGCUUUGCAACUCGAGGUCCAAGUUGACGGUGUAAAUAAGGCUUCAAGUUUACAAAGGUUAUGCUAUUAAAGGAUGGAGCAAAACCGGGACUGUAGUUGACGAUGGUGAUGCAAGCACAAGAACUAGUUUUUCCUCAUUGGAAGAGCAUACUUUAUAAAAUCCAUAUACAAGUACGAGGGAGAAAAUCACAGGGGUCUUCCAGUAUAAUCAAGUAAUUCAUUUUAUCCUUUUCCAGCAAAGGCAAUGACCCUGUUACUAAAACCUAUUACAUCCCCUUUCUAUCAUAGGUAAUAGUAACGGUGUCACCGUCUUUGGUGGAGAUGGAUAAAAAAAUUUACUUAAUUAUACUGAGAUACCAUUGCAUUUUUCUUCCUCGUACUUGUGUAUGAGUUUUAUAAAGCAUCAUUUUCUAAUGAAAAAAGUUUUUUGUCGUGCCCGCAUAACCAUUGUAAAUUACAGCUCCAAUCAUACUCCGUCCUUUGAUAGCGUAACAUUUUGUAAACUUGAAGCUCUAGUUACACUUCAAUUUCAGACCGUAUAAUCACCCUUAAUUGGGACCAUGAGUUGCAAUGCGAUCUGGCUUCUCGGGUGAUGGCUCCAUACUCACAUGACAAAUGAAAUUUGUAGGUCACCUAACUCCACGACACCACCAUAAAUUCAAACAUUCCUUAAAACUAUAACAGUGUCUAUCUCAAACAAGAAUGAAAAUAAAUGUUCAAACUUCUAAUUUCAAAUUGCAAGAAAAAAAAGAAAAAAAUAAAUUUUAGCAAAGUAAAAAUGGGUCCUACCGGCGCAUUUUCAUUGCCACAUCAAUGAAAAUACACCUCGUACGACACGUUAUUCUUUCUUCGUAAACAAUGUAAAUCAAUAAAUUUAAAAAAAAAUUAUACAUUCUCAAAUAACUCUUUUUUUCAGCAUUUUUGUUAAAUUUAUCCCAUAAUACUGCUACUUCUUGUUUCCUGGGUUAUUUUUAUUACUGCUGGUUGUACCACCCUCCUACUGUGCGCCGGUUAUAGCAACUCACUCAAGAUUCUAAAUACUAAUAUAAACACCAUUUCUUUUAUUCUUAGUUUUUUUAGUGAUUAACGUGGUUUUAAUUAUCGUUAGAUCACGUGGGUGUUUAUAUGAAAUGCUUGAAAUCGUCACGCAGGACAAAAAAAAAAAAAAGAAAAAGAAAAGGAAAUGAAGAGUAUAUAUAUAGAGGAAACAACUAGUGAGAGUGAUAUUAAUAUUUAGAGUAGGUAAAGAUAGUAUUAUAUAGUCGCAUAUGCGACCUUGUACAUUACCACUAACUCUAAAACUAGGAUAACUCCAACAAUGAAUAGUACCGCUAUGGAUUUUUAACAUUCAUUUUUAUUCUGUCGACAUCACUAUUUCCCUUCCAUUAGCUGAUCCCAACUUCCAUGACCACACUUCACUUAAUGCUGCAAAUGCAACCACACCAAACAAAACAUUCAUAAAUUAAUAAAUCAAUUGCCAUAAGCGAUAAACUUUGGGUCAUUUUCUUUUUCCGUAAUUUCAAAGAAACCUAGUUUAAAUUAGAUACGAACCUUUUGCAGUCAGUGGAAGGGCUGAUCUUGUAAGGGAUGUUGAUACCGCACUUGCCUGGGAGUCCGGCUGCAGUGCUAUAGUUGAUGCCAGAAAUGCCGGUGGCCGCACUUUUGAUGCAGCUGCAAGCUGCUUGCCGGUCUGGUGUUGUUUUGGCGGCAGAGUUGAGAGAUCUGAUGCCGUUGCAGCAAGCUGGGGGAGCAGAACCAGCACCAUUCCCUUUCAAGUAAGCAAUGCAGGGUGCGAGGGCGCUUGUGAUUUGACCACAACUUAUGGCCCCUUGAGCCAGGGGUGCACCCACCACCAUGCAAAACACCACCACACAUGUAAGCUUAAGGGACAUUGAGCUAGCCAUAUCAAUUAGUCACAAGAAACAAACUUGUAAGGAAAAUGCUCGCUUGGAGUAGUAGUACUAUUGCUGAUUGUUGCGU
rnacentral:lncRNA from 1 species